UUGGUAUUAUAAUGAAUUCCCAACUUCUUUACAUUUGGCAUUUUUUCAAGGACGUGUUUUGUCAUUCCUAAAUCUUGUACCAUCGAAAGUGUCUCUAGGUUUUCUAGAAUGAAAUGUUUAUCACUAUCAGGGAAUGGAAUAGAGAAAACAGGAGACAGGAAAGCUCGAGAAAUUAUUAUAUGCCUCAAUUGUGGCAUAUUAAAAAUUUCAUCUGGUAGUUCAAUUGCAAUUCCCCAUGGAUCUUCAACAAUUAAAGUCUGUAGAUUCCUAAGUAAGGUAAUAGCAGGAGGGAUUUUACCAAGACAGGUGAUAGCAAUGUACCUUAAGUUAACUAGUUGAAGUAUUUCAUCUGGGAAUUUUGUAAGCUUCAGUCCAACAAUAUCCAAUACCCUCAGUAACAGACAACCAAAAUAAUAAUAUGAAUGCAAUUGAGUUUCAUCCCAACCACUAUAUAUGAAAGACCGUACACGAGACAUUGAUUGCACAGUCACAUCCUCUUCACUUGGACUAUAAGAGGCAUCGUCAUGAAUACUCAAACGGCGCAUGAACGUUGCGUCUUCCGGACCAAAGUGCAGAUACUUGCUCUUGACACAAAAAAAUUUCUCCUUAUGAGCUAUCCUUACGCAUUGCUCUCUCAAAAGAUCAUGUAUGCCACAGGAUUUAAUUUUCCCAUUAGACCCCUUUCGACAAACCAAAAUAAGAUUUCUACUUAUGAGUUCCAUAAGGUAUUCCUCUGCAACCUCGUCCAAGUGUUUAGGUUUUUUCGGUUUUAGAAAUCCCUCGGCGACCCAUAAUUUGACGAGUCUAGAAACGGGAAUCUCAUAGUUUUCUGGAAAAACUCCCAUAUAAAGAAAACAAGCUUUCAAAUGAGUAGGCAAGUGCUUGAAACUUAAAUUUAAUACCUCUGAGCACUGGCCAUCUCUUUCUGCUAUAAAUGUGCUUAAAUUUUCAGCAACAUGCUUCCACUCAUCUCGUGCUUUACCAACGUUUGAGAGAAGUCCAGCAAUCACCACAAUUGAUAAUGGAAGUCCCUUACAAUUUUUUGCAAUUUUCCUUCCAAUAUCUUCCAAGUCAGGAGGGCAAUUUUCUUGUCCAAACACCUUUUCACGAAAUAAAUUCCAACUUUGUUCCCCAUUUAGAAAACGCAUCUGGUGAUGUUUUGUAGAUAAGCUGGCAUGACCAGCCACAUCUGUUAUCCUGGUUGUCAUUAUAAUUCGGCUUCCAAUGUUGUCAUUUGGAAAUAACAAUUUCAUGUUAUCCCAAACAGUAGUACUCCAAAUGUCAUCAAUUACAAUUAGAUAUUUCCUACCCUUUAGACUUUUGUAAAGGCGAUCUGCUAAUUUCUCAUCACUCUCUUUGCGUAUCUCACCAGUAAGAACAACAAAGUGAUUUAGAAGGCUUAGAAGAAUUUUCUUUUUAUGAUACUGCGGAGAUAGUGUUACCCAAGCAUGAAUAUGAAAGUGAUACGCAACAUAUGAAUCAUCAUAAACAUUCCUAGCUAGAGUAGUUUUGCAAACGCCUCCCAUCCCAACAAUGGGAAUGAUUUGGAGUCCAGAUGAUCCAUUACAGAGUCGAUCCCUUACCUGCUUCAAAUCUUCCUCAAAUCCCACUGUAGUACUUUGGCCACUAGAUUCCGGUCUUGAUGGCAAAAAAUGCCCUGACUGCCCGAUCCCCUCCGUGAUCUUCAUAGAAUCUUCCAUGAGUGUAUUAAUUUCUGUUAUUUUAUUCUGCAAGUCCGCAAUCUUCACCACCUCUUCCAUGAUGGAAUCAAAUUCUUUUAUUAUCUUCUGGAAGUCUGUAUGAGGGUCGCUGCCAGAUAUUGGGAGCACAGGAAGUAGGUGCUGUAAAGAACUCUCCUGUCCGUGACUUCCUGAUUGUGAAAGAACAGUAUUGCAUAUGUGGGAUUCAAUUACAUCUUCUGCACAAUAAGCCGCAUCCCUGAUUUUUAUUUCCACUGAUAGCACAUGUUCGCUGCUAUUUUGGGAAUAUUUUUCAAGAAAAUCCCGUAAAGACUUAAGCUUUUUAAAAAGACAAUCAAUUUCUUGCUGCUUAAAAAGAUUCAAAUGUAGAUUUGGGUGUUGGAGGAUCUGCUCAAGAGCGUGCAUAAGAGAAACAACAGCAGCAUGAGCCAUCUCCAAUCUCUCAGAAUCUCACAAGGCCAAAAAGUCGCUCAAGUAAAGAAAUGAAAAGUGAAAGCAUCAAAGGAAGCAUUAUUCAUCUAAAUAGGGUAUUUUCGCGUGUAUAAGCAUUCGAGGGCUGCUACAAACAUAAAAAUUUCUGGAAAAAUGUGAACUCUCGGGAAAAACACCAUUUUUUUCAAAAUAAUGGCCGGCAAACGUGGGCUUACUUUUGCGUCCCUCGAUGUGUUGACCAGAAAUAAAAGCAAACCCACUUAUUUCAUUUUUCAAUAAAUUGCUAGUUGCAUAAGGAAAAAUUAAAGAAUGUCAAAAAAAUAUUUUUUUUUAAACAAAAUGGUGAUGCAUAAGUCCCAAUUUGGCACUCAUUAAUUUUUAUUUCAUUUCCUUCUCUUCUACUUUUAACUACACAAUCUUUUAUAAAAUAAUAUUACACAUAAAUCAAAAAAAAUUCUUCAUUUUUCACUACUAAUUUUUAAAAAAAAUUAAUAUUUUACCCAUUUUAAUUUUCAAGAAAUGGGGGCAAACAGGGGCUAAAUUUUAGCCCAGGAAAUCAACAGGACUAUAAGAAUAUGGAUUAUGUCAGUUGUAAACUCUUUUUUAAUACAUUUGUUGACAUUUUCAUUGUUGUCAACAAAUGAUUGAAUAAAGAAAAUUAUUAUUUUUUAAAUUGUCCAAUUGGAUAAUACCAAGUGAUAAAGUGUACAUCAUGAUACACAUCAAAUAUGACUAUAAGAAUAUACAAACAACAUUUGAUCCCUAAGUAAAAGUGCAAGAAAUUUAGCAUCUGUUUGGUCCCUAUUUUGCAAUAAUGAAAAUGGAUGGAAUAGUAUUUUUUUGAAAAAUGAGUAGUUAAAAAAGAAGGAAAAGUUUUAUGUUUACGUAUAAUAUUAUUUUAUGAAAAAUUGUGUGAUUAAAAAUAGGAAAGAAAAAAAUAAAAUGUAAUGAAAUGAAAAUUAAUAAGGCCAAACAGGACUUAAAUAACACUAACUUUUCUGGCAAGGGUUCCAAAUCCAACACCCAAUUCCCUACGGAGUCCGUCUUCUCUCUAAAACAUUAUGAUAGGCUGAGAAAGUAGGUCAAAUUUUUUGGGCAUUGUGGUUUAAAACUCAUCCAAUAUUCAUUUAACCCCCGUUUGAACCACAUUAUUGUAAAAAUAAGAAUGAAAAAUAUAAUCAUUAUGAACUCCACACAAAAAAUAAAAAGUCAAAUAAGAUGAUUUGAUGUGAUGAAUAACGGUCAUAUUUUUCAUUUUAAUGAGAAAUUAAUGGGGCUCAAACAAGGUCUUAAUGUAAUUUUGGCCAUAAUUCUUAACCAGCCAAAUCGACAGAUUUUGCCGGUUCACAAAAUAUAUUCCAAUUUUACAUUCUAUACAUAUAUUGUUCAAAACUAACUAGUCAAUAAAAAUAAAGAAAUUAAAAAUUUAGUUAUAACUAGAAAAUUACCUUAUAAUUAAAAAAAAUUACUUAUAUGUAAAAAAUUACUUAUAAGAUAAAAAUUAGUUUCUGUGUAAAAAUUGCUUAUUAAGUAAUCUACGUAACACUAACAAAGAAAAAAAAACACUUAAUAAAAUACAAAAGGAUACUCAUAAAUAAAAAAUCAUUUAUUUUUAAAAAUAUUUAAAGAGUAAAAUGAUUAUAACUUAGAAUUUAUUUAUAACUAAAAAAUUACUUAUAACUUAAAUUUUUAAUUAUAAGUAAAUAUUUCACCUUUUCAGUUAAAAUUUAACUCAUAUAUAAAAUUUACUUUUAAGUAGAACAUCACUUAUGAGUAAAAAAAUUAUACAAAAAAAUUAGAAAUUAGAAAUAACACCAAGGUGCAGAAAUGUAAUUUUAUUAUUUUUAAAGACUUGGAAUCACUAGAUAAUAAACUUUUAAGCAUGGUUGGACUAUUUUAAAAAUUGUUACUAAAAAUCAUCCAAAAUCAUACUUCUCAUAAACGUUCAAAGUCAGUACUUUAAAAAAAUAAUAAUAAUAAUAAUAAAAUAAUAAUAAUAACAACAACAACAACAAUAAAGAUGCACAAAAAAUCACUGCCUUAUCCACGUUCAUUUAUGAACUACGAAGAUCGAGGAACCCUAAGUUCUUAAUCUAAAUCACCAAAGAAAACAAGAAUGACACAAAAAGAUGAAGAUGAAUCAUACGAAAAAAGAAUUAGAGUUUGUUUGAGUUAAUGAUUCGAGAGAGAGAAGAUUGACCCUUAAAAGUUCGCUCCAUCAAGCAUCGAACCUGAUGUCAAGUGGAUUAGCCUGUAGAAGUUUCUUGAACCCAAAUCCAAUAGCCAAAAAAUUGCCACGUAAAUCAAUCUCAAAGAGUUGCUUCACUAACAAAAGCGCCAUUUUGAAACACUUUUCCCAAUUUUAGUAGCAACUUUGUUAAUUCCUUAUCAACUUGACCUUGCUAGUUGCUAGCAAUACUUUGAUUAUCAAUGUAAAAGUUACAUUCUUAUUUACAAAACUGAACAGCUUUGAAAACCCACUCAACCAAUUUUCUGUACCUAAGAUUUCAGCUUAUAAUAUUACUACAUUGUUGGGUUUUUCAUAUCCAAUCAAUUUGGACGAUAAUGAAAAAUCAACACUUUGGAUGACCCAAGUUACUUUAGCCCAUUGGAGUGACUUUUGAUUUGUUGGACCAUUUGAUAAUUGCUUUGGCCCAUUUGGAAGAAUGUUUUGGCCCAAUCUUGUGAUGCGACCUAAAGUCCAUAUAUACUUGGCAUCCCUGCGGCUGUUUCUCUUUGAGUUUGAAUGUGCGUGUAAGUGUUUGCAAGUGAAGGGAGAAAUACAAAUAGAGGCAAUUAAGUUCUUGACAAAAUCCACCAUUGUUUCCUCUUAUUUCGUCUCUACCCUAGAGGCUACAAACCAACCACCAUUUCAUCUCCUUUGGGCUGUAAGAAUGAGGCAACCAAGUGUUGAUGGUCAAGCUUGCUAAAGUCAGCGCCGAUGUGUGGGACCGGCACUUGAGGCCUAGGUGCAUUGCCGGUUUGGGUGCAUGAGGGCGUGUCGAUCGGAUUCCAACGAAGUGAACUUGAGGUAAUUUUCUCCAGACGAUAAGACGGACCCUGCGGUGGUGUCCGUUUUCUAUUUCAAGUGAUAAUGUAAAAUCUUUACUAUUUUACCCUUGAAAGUUUUGGUUUCGGAUUUUUUUUGUGUUGCUAUGGUUGUUGGAACUUAAUAGUGAAGGCCCUAAAGUGCUAAAUUCAUAUCUUUCCUAGUAUAAGAAGCCGCAGAUAUGGUCUGCUCCUUUUUCAUUAUUUACUUUUUCACAUUAGAAAUCAUUGUGUUUAGUGACAUUGGGAUUACCGGGUGAUGUAACCAUUGCUUGUUGUUAGAUCUAGGAAUUGUGUUAAUUUCUUGCCUUGAAUUUUCUGUGAAUUCGUUGCCAAUUUUUCACUGUUGAAAAGGACUUGUGUUGAUAUUUUGAUUGUGAUGGUUGUUAGUUACAUUUUGUGUUUUGUGCAUUUUUGGUAAAAUAACAAUACGUUUUGGGUUGUGUUUUUCUAAUUGAAAAAUGUAAUUUCCCAAUUUGACAAGACAAAGUCUUUUAUAAAACUUUUGAUGGCAAAUAUAGGUUUAAAGCAAGUGCCAAAAGUAAGAGAUUUUUAACUAUGGUAUUUUUUGAACAUAUUGAAAGAGACCGUCCUAGAAGAAUAAAAGGAAAGAUAAGAAGAGUGGUGAGGCAAAUGUUACCACUGGGUUGAGUGAUGACCCAAGUGAUGUUUAUUGAGAAUAAACUUGGUUAUUGUAUGUGCAUUUAUGUGUAAUCCUUUCUACAUAUAUAUAUGAUUGCUUAAUUCAGUUGCAUGGUCAUAUGUUGCAUUUUCAAUAUGUUUGAACGUGCAUUUGUAUGAACUUGAGAGCAAUCUGAUUACUUUUGUGUAAUUUGUUUGUAUGCGUAGUAGGUUGAGAUCUAUGGCAUACUCCUUUUGCUCUAUGAAUGGUGUGAAAGAGUGUGAUAGUAAAAAGAAAAAAAUGCAACCAUUUUUUCUUUUAUCUUUAUGAGCCUCUAUGGUUUAUGAGGUUAUGUGAGAUAGCCAAGUGAGGGUUAUCUUCUUCCGCUUUGUGAGCCUAUUUUGUAAGUGUAGUAAAAUAACCAAUUCUUUCUUCUAUUCUCUUUGUGAGUGGCACCUUCAUCAUUUCCUUUGUGGACUUUUUUUAACAUUGUUGUUGGAAUAAUCUUGUUGCGAAUGGGUCAAUUUAUAUUAAACCCUAACUUUGUAGCAGCCAAAAGUGUUGAUUUUGUCAUAGUAGGCUUGAGAUGCAUUGGCAGUAUGUAUGUCUAUUGGUACUAUAGAGUAUAGAUGUCUAAGUGUACAUCAGUGAUAUGUACGUGGGAUGUGCAACAUUUUGGAUCAUGAGAUGAGAUGUGAUUAAAUAUUGGUGGUGUUGAUGUGCAUUAAGAGAAAGUGUGAGUUGGUCGUCUUUGGAUUCUUUCUAAAGUUUCCAAUUGCCUUUUCUAUUCUACUCUUCUUUUGUGGGUGUAUACGAAUCAUCGAUGUUAGAAUCUUCUAUCUGUUAAGACCCUGAUCAAGUAGAGUGUGAGAGAAACUUCUAUCACAUCUAUUAGAUGGGAAUUGUUGACAACCGAACUCCGAUCUAACAAAAACAAUUUGCUAACUCUACCUUAGGCAGGUCUGAGUUCAGUCACUGCUCUCAGCUCGGACUCGCCCGUCGUUAUCUCAAAAAAAAUCAUGAUUACUUCAUGUCACAUCACCCUAUCAAUCAUACACACUUGCCACAAGUGACGUCAUCACCGCCCAUAAUUGCCAAUCCAAAACCCGAUCCUCAAGCCUCUUACAGGUCAUCAUUACCUGAGAAAAAUAUUGACACAUGGCCACCGACUUCAUCGACCAAUCACUGGAGAAUUCAACAACCCAAGUUUCAAGCUCGGUAGUGUAGCUGAUUUGAUGUAAUUUCUGCUGAAACUAUGUAUAAUUAGUUAAGUAGAACUCUGGUAAAGGAGAGAUGAAUUCAUGUAAAAGCUUAUGGUACCAUUAUACUUUCUAAAUGUAUUUUGUGGCCUUUUUGAAACAAUAAAUUUCUUUUUUUCCUUAAAGUUGGAUUAAGAUUAGCCUUGCUAAUUUUAACGUCAACAGUUUGGUGCUAGAAGAAGGGCCCCAAUUGUGAAAAAUAGUCUCAUUCUCCCCAUAAAAUCUGAGAGCCAUGAGUCAUAGCUCAAGUUUUAGAAACCCAUCUCACACCCACCCUCAUGAAACGAAUACUCCACCAAGUCCUCCAUGAUGACAAGACUCUCAGAUGACCGCCAUGAGGGAAGCCCUGGAAAAACUGACUAAUGUAGUGGGAUGAUUGGAAUAGAGUCAAGCCCGCUUGUUCCCACCAGAUACCGAGGUAGAAUCUCCUAAGAGGACAAGAGUAAAACGUCCCCCUACCAGGAGGACUCUCCACUUUUCAAGAUGAGAGUCCCCAAGAAGUUGAACUGACGAAGUUAAGAGUAAGGAUCCCGAUGCAAGAAGGACUGGCAGUGUGUUUGAUAGGCUGGAGACCCAGCACUCUCUAACCCCUACGCGAGGACAAAUCGACCCUGACCUUAAAUGUCCUCUGGAGCAGACAGAACCCAAGUUGAGCGCACUAAAAAGACGCAUAGCUGACCUGGAGGCUAAAAACAAAGGUGGCACUGAAGACUAUCUCACUAAGCGACACUUCCCCUUUACUGAGGAUGUCCUUAUGGAACCAUUACCUGAAAAAUUGAAAAUCCCCCAGAUGGCUGCGUAUGAAGGAGAUGGUAAUCCCCUAAGCCACCUUGACAAAUACACCUCGUGGAUGGAACUGCAGGGAGCAAGUAACGCCAUCAUACGCCAGGCAUUCUCCCUAAUCGUGGGAGACAAAGCUCAGAGGUGGUUUAGGAGACUACUCCAGAGGUCGGUAAAAAAUUGGAAUGAUCUAGCCAUGGCAUUCUUGGCCUAGUUCAUGGGCUCCAGGGGCAGAACCACGCCCAAAGAAAGGCUAGUAAGUAUCAAACAAGGAAGAAGCGAAUCCCUCAAAAGCUAUUUGAACAGAUUCAACAAGCAAUACAUGGAAGUGAAAAAAAAUCUGAUGACGUAGCACUUAUGAUCGUACUAGCAGAACUUAGGCCCAGAACGAGAUUUUGGUGGUCAAUACACGAAGAUGGCCCAAGAACUUAUCACGAGUUCUUGAACCGAGCUGAGAAAUACAUAAGUGCUGAAGAAGCAACCUCUGACCAAUAGGAAGUCAAAUGCGAACCCGACCUCAGCAAUACGGCGAAAUAGAAUAAACCAAGCUACAGUCCUCAGCCCCAAAGAAAGAAUGAUAGGAGAGAAAGAGAACGUCCUAAGGCUCAGCCAUAUAAAUUUCGGGAAUACCACCCACUUAAAGUCUCAUUGGAAGAAGUAUUCACACAAACUAAUGAAAAGGGGUAUUUCACAGGCCUAUGAUCCAAAAGAACAAGCAGUCAGGACACCAACAGGGACGAUACUAUCGAUAUCAUAGGAUGGUAGGUCAUGACAUUGAUAACUGUCGAGAAUUAAAGGAGAAAGCUGAGUCCUUGAUUUGUAGAGGUAGGUUACAGGAGUUUGUUGCCAAAUCGAAAAAGGCAGAUUGAUCUACAACGUAGCAACUGCUGCUGCAAGGGCCUCCCACACGAGCUCAGCAGGCAAUCCCUAAUCAUAAUUUACCCCUACGCGCCGAAAUCAAAAUGGUGAUUGGAGGAAAUCAGUAUAUUAAAGGAUCUAGGAGGGCAAGAUAAAGACAAGCCCGAAGUGCAAGAAUCAUACCGAACUACUAGAAUCAAACCCUACAGAUCAGGAUAGACCCUGAAUGGUUCUGGUUCACGGAGGAAGAUUCCCACGGAAUCCUCCAAGACCAAAACGAGGCCCUAGUGGUCACAAUGCCAGUUGUCGGAGUAAAAGUUCACCGGACAUUGAUAGACAACGAAAGUUCGGUCAAAACACUGUACACACAAACUUUGAGACAAUUGGAAAUAUCAGAGCGCUAUCUUCAACUGUACUCAAGAAAACUACAGAGAUUCUCCAGAGAUCCUAUUGAAGCCCGAGUCAGAUCAUCCUUGUUGCAGAGUUGGGCGAAGCUCCUCGCCCGAGUAAGAUCUUAGCAGAUUUCAUGGUAGUCGAUCUGCCAUCCAAGUAUAACACAAUAUUGGGACAAUUCAUUUUGCACGAGCUAAAAGCUGCUACAUCAAUUUAUCAUUAUUGUAUGAAAUUUCCCAUUCCUUACAGGACUAUAAUAAUCCCAGGGGAUCAAACUAGAGUAAGGGUGUGCAAUAUCGACCUGCCAAAGCCACAAGUCAACAUGCUAAGGGGCAGGGCGAACAAGCAAGCUGGAGAAGCCAGACUGAAGAGAUCAAUUGUUGCGGAUCUCUCUAAGAUCGACAUAACAGAGAAGUACCUCAAGAAAGCCACAGAUGAGCAAUUGUCCUUUGACGAAAAAGAGGUGGACCCAUAUCCUUACCUCGGAGUUCUGGUAAUCUCGUUGCCUGUAGCUGGGGUAACCAUCCCCAAUGUCUUAGUGGAUAUGGGGAGUGCUCUUAACAUCCUCUUCAGCAACACUCUCAAAUAGAUGGGUAUCUCUGCUAACUUUCUACGACCGUACUCAAAUAUGGUCCUUGGACUAAGCGGAGCCCUGACUUCUGCCCAAGGAUCGAUCAAACUCCCAGUCAGGAUCAGUACCCCGAAAAGUGAAGAUGAACUCUGAGUUCGUAGUAUUCGACUCAACAUCGCCUUAUGAUGCUGUAAUGGGAGAACCCUUACUAUUUAGCCUGAGAGCAGCACUGUCUCUGUACUACUAUUCAAUUAAAUUCCCUACACCCCAUGGUGUGGGUAAAGUCAAAGAAAACAGGGAGCUCGUCAAAAGAUGUCAAUUGAAACCCUAUACUAGCCAUCAACAUACCCCGCGGGAGUACAUAUGGCUAAUAUAUAGGAAUUCGAGCUCAUUUCACUAGAUCAGCGAACCAAGGUCGAAGGUGGAGAACCCGUCGAAGAGCUAGAGAGAGUUCAAAUUUGUGCCGACGACCCAUCAAAAGAGCUCAAAGUCGGGCGUGAGCUGCAUCCCUCUACCCGAAGCGAAAUUGUGGCCUUCCUUAGACAAAACCUUGAUAUAUUUGCCUGGAAUCACAGGGACAUGAGAGGAAUAGAUCCCAAAAUAGCCAGCCACAAAUUACAGGUGGAUCUCUCAGUUCGACCGUAGCAGUAAAAACGACGACCUCUGAACCCUGAAAGAUAUGAAGCACUCAACAAGGAGGUGCAAAAACCAUUGCACAAUGGUUUUCUCCGCAAGGCAAAAUAACCAAUGUAGGUUGUAAAUCCGGUCUUUGUGAAAAAACACAAUGGAGAAUGGAGGGUAUGCAUAGACUUCACCGAUCUCAACAAAGCAUGCCCUAAAGAUAGUUUUUCUUUACCAAGGAUAGAUCAAAUGGUAGACACCCCUGCGGGACACGAACUACUCAACUUCAUGGAUGCGUAAUCCGGAUAUAACCAUAUAUCGAUGUAUGGCCCAGAUCAAGAACAUACCUCGUUUAUAACUGACCGAGGUUUUUUACUGCUACAAAGUAAUGCCAUUUGGUCUUAAAAACGCUGAUGCCACCUAUCAAUGACUUGUAAAUUCCACAUUUUCCCAGCAGAUCAGAAAAACAAUGGAAGUGUAUCUUGAUAACAUGUUGGUCAAAAGCACUAAGGCCAAAGACCAUUGUCGGCACCUAGCCGAGAUGUUCGAUAUCUUGAGAGAGCAUGGAAUGAAGUUAAACCCGAGGAAAUGUGCUUUCGGGAUCAGCGCUGGAAGGUUCUUAGGUUACAUUGUAAACAAUCGAGGAAUUGAGGCAAUCCUGAAAAAAUACAAGCUGUUAUCCAAAUGAAACCUCCGACCGAACCUAAGGAGGUACAAAGUUUAAUCGAAAUGAUUGUCGUGCCUCAGCAGGUUCAUCUUUAAGUCUACGGACUGAUGCAAACCUUUCUUCGACACGUUAGGAAGAAGAAAGAAGUUCGAAUGGAUCGAAGAAUGCUAGGAAGCCUUUGACGAGUUAAAAAAACAAUUAGCUCAACUUUCGCUACUCUCAAAACCUAAAGCAGGCGAGGUCCUGAAGCUAUAUUUAUCAGUCUCAGAACAUGCAAUUAGUGCCGCUCUGACCCAAGAAGAGAACGACGUUCAACACCCAAUCUAUUACGUAAGCAAAGCGCUUCACGAAAUCGAGCUUAGAUACUCUCUCAUGGGAAAAUUGGCAUUUACCCUGCUAAUGGCAGCGCGAAAACUGAGGCCAUAUUUCUUUAAACACCCCACUGAAGUCCUUGCCAACUCUCCAUUAAGACAAACAUUACAAAGACUCGACACUUCAGGUCGGAUGAUAAAAUGGACAGUCGAGCUUGGACAAUUUGACAUCAAAUACACACCUCGUUCCUCCAUCAAGGACCAAGCACUUGCCGACUUUAUCUCUGAGUUCUGCAGCGUUCCAAUCGAGGAACUAUUAGAAGAAACCCCAUGGGAACUUUAUAUCGAUGGUUCGUCCACCAGAGAUCGAUCUAGGGCUAGCGUGGUAUUAAUCAGCCCUGAGCAACACAUAUUCUGUGAAGCCUUACCAUUUGAUUUCAAAGCUUCAAACAAUGAGGUCGAGUAUGAAGCUCUCAUUAUCGGAGUAAGGAUGGCCUCAAGGUGGAGGAUCUCUAACCUAAUCAUACAUAGCGACUCAUCAUACAUAGCAACUCCCAACUAGUCGUGAAUCAGGUCAACGACGUAUAUCAGAUGAAAGAAGAAAGAAUGAAUAAUUACCUAGGGGUUGUAAGGAAAGAACUUAAAAGAUUCAACAUCACCCAAGUCAAGAAGAUUCUCCAAUCUCAGAACGGCCAUGCCGACACACUGGCCAGCCUAGCCACCAGUGAGGGAUUCGAAGAAUUCGAUAGCAUCCCCAUGGGAAGACUAUCCCUACCUAUCACCGAGUUGAUCGAAGUAAUUCUUAUGAUGAUAGAUCCCAAACCAACUUGGCAAGAUGAGAUCAUCCCUUACCUAAAGAUCGGGAAAUGUCCUAAAAAAUCGACAGAGGCUAGAAAGCUCCGAAUCAGGUUGGCCAGGUACACACUCAUUGAUAAUGUCCUCUACAAGCAGGGAUAUUCUAUGCCCUUACUAAGAUUUUUGAAAGAAGAAGCCCAACACGCCCUGCGAGACAUUCAAGAAGGAAUAUGUGAAAAUCAUUCCGGUGGACUUUUCUUAGCACACAAGAUUAUACGACAAGGAUAUUUUUGGUCUGCAAUAAGACGUGAUGUCUUCGAGUUUGUCAAAAGAUACGACAAGUGCCAGCGCCUCGUCCCAUCAUAAAUACUUCAUCGCGCGAGCUGAACCCGGUGAUAGCACUCUGGCCCUUUGCAAAAUGGGGGGUCGACCUAAUUGGACCUGUGCCCAUUGGAAAAGGAAGCAUGAAAUUCAUCAUCAUUGCAGUGGAUUACUUCACUAAAUGAGUUGAGGUAGAGCCACUUGCCAAGAUCACCGAAUAAAAAACGACCGAUUUUUUGUAAAAAUAAAUCAUUUGUAGGUUGGGCAUACUUCACUCCAUCGUUACGGACAAUGGAAAAUAGUUUGACAACGCAUGACUUUCAGAUUUUUGUGAAGAGUUCGGCAUCAAGAAACAUUUCUCAAUGACAAACUAUCCGCAGGCAAACAGCCAAGUAGAAACCAAUAACAAAAUCAUUAAACACACAUUGAAAGUAAAACUUGACUUGUUUAAAGGAGAAUGGGCCGAAGAACUCCCCAGUGUGUUAUGGUCAUACCGCACUACUACAAGGACUAGCACGGGAGAAACCCCGUUCUUACUGGCUUUCAGGGUAGAGGCUAUAAUCCCACUAGAAGUCAGCAUUCCCUCAUUGCACAUAACUGCUUACGACGAAGAAAGGAAACGUAUAGCUUUUCGUAUGGAACUCGACCUAGAUGAGGACAAAAUGAACAACGCCGAACUAAAAAAUGCCAUUUACAAGCAACGAAACGCCAAGAACUACAACCAAAAAGUAAAAAAAAAAAAAGAGAGAAUUUGAAGUGAGAUUUCUCGUCUUACGAAAGGUAUUUCUCCCCACAAGGGAGGCCAGCAGCGGAUGCCUGGGACCGAACUGGGAAGGUUCCUAUUUGAUAACGAAUAUCCUCCUGAAAGGGGUAUAUGAACUGGAAGACUUGGGAGGUAGACCCUUAAGCAGUAUUAUCAGUGAACGAGAAAAGUCGAUGACAUGUAAAGCCCGCUUGUAAUGUCAAUCACAUCAAUAAAAAGGACUCCAUAUUUUGAACAUUUUAUUCAGCAUUCUAACAGAGUUCUCAAAAGCCUUGCUCCUCACGCAGGCCGAUUUAAGGUCGUAUGUGCUACAACACUUAGUGAAAUUCCUCCUUAAGAAUUCUCAAAAGUCCUGCUCCUCACGUAGGCUGAUCUAAGGUCGUAUGUACUACGACGCUUAGUGGAAAUUCCUCCUUAGAAAUUCUCAAAAGCCCUGCUCUUUAUGCAGGCCGAUCUAAUGUUGUAUGUGCUACGACAUUUAGUGAAAAUUCCUCCUUAAAAAUUCUCAAAGGCCCUGCUCCUCACGGAGGUCGAUCUAAGUUCGUAUGUGCUAUGACACUUAGUGGAAAUCCCUCCUUAGAAAUUCUCAAAAGCCCUUCUCCUCAUGCAGGUCGAUCUAAGGUCAUAUGUGCUAUGACACUUAGUGGAAACUCCUCAUAAGGAAUUCUUAAAAGCCCUGCACCGUAAUUUCUCUUAAGGAAUUCUUGAAACCUUGCCCAUGCGCAGGCCGAGCUAAGAUCGUAUGUGCUACGACACUUUGUGAAAAAUCCUCCUAAGGAAUUCUCCAAACCACUAUCACAUGCACAGGCCGAACUAAUUUCAGAAAUCACUAAGGUAGAUCAUAAUAUUAAUAAGCAAGCAUAUUCAAAGAAAUUUACUGCCAAAAUGAAAUAUACCAUACCAGAUCAAAGUUAGUUACAAAAAUGGAACGUUGUCUACAUCAUGUUAAAACAAACCAAGUCUACCAAAAAUAAGCCUAUAUGGAUCUAUGACCUUUGUGGAUCCUGAGGAUUAGAGGUCUCCCCUGGAGCAUCUCCAUCAAUUGGGAGCAUCCGAACUCACGCCUCUUCAGAUAGCUUGCGUUGCUCCUCCUUCUCCUCAUUCAGUCCAUCAUCUAAGAAGGCCGCAUCAAAAUUCGGCCUCUCCUUCCGGAUGUGCUUCACCAAUUCCUCCAAUGCUAUGACGUAGGCAUCCUGAGCAAAGGAAUCGAACUCCGGAGACUCUCUCCAUAUCUCCACAGCUCGAAUGGCCUUAGCCUCGGCCUCGUCGGCCCUUUUAGUAGCCUCGCCUUCGCGUUUUUCUCCUGCACAAUCUUAACUGUCUCUUCAUUGGGAUAAUGCUCAUCAUUUGCCUGAGCUCAUUCUGCUUGAGCAAGGGCCCUCUCUUCUUCAACUCUUUUCUUCUCCCCCUCGGCUCUCUUGUUCGCCUUCUCCCCCCAAAUCUUCAAGGCAGUAACCUCAUCCUGAAGAUUCUGUUCAGAUGUCAGCGUAGCAUUAAACUCCAUACCCAUCUUCUGAAGCUGAUCUUUGUACUCUGCCUCUUUAGCAGCAAACUGAGCCCACUCCUCCUUCAUACUCUCAUAUAGGCCCAUGGCCUGGUCCCUAGACUCAAGUAACUUAUCAAGCUCGACUUUUAUCUAAAUAAUAAAAUAUAAGUUAAAAAAAUGAAUUUGAAUACGAGAAGUUACGAGUCCACAAAGUAAAAAUUUUAGAAGAAGUACCUUAUCAGCCACCGACAUCAUGUAUAAUAUGGAAUGGUGGCUAUAGAGCUGGGCAGUGACCACGGCCUCUCCAGUAGGCAUUUCUGUCAGGAAGUUCUGUUCUUUAUCCCCCCAACUCCUCAUAAGGAGAUUUGCAGAUUCAUGGAAGGGAGAGAAAAGACAGCCACAAUCUCCCUCAAAUGAGAAGGGGCCUGUAGAAAAUCCAGGAAGAUUUCUGGCCGAUGGCCCAUUAAACUUUCCAAGCUCGACUGCUGCAAGUCUGGAAGUCGAUCUUGUGACCUCGUCUAGCUGGCUGAUGCGGCCACUAGUACACUCGAGGUGGGAAGGACGACAUUGUUAUCGUCGACAACUCCGACGUCGAAAUGGCAAUUAGUAUUGAGCUGGAAGGGAAAACUUCUGGGGAAGAUCUCGAGGGAGAAGCAGUCGGAGUUGUAGUUAUUGACGGCAGAGGUGCGCCUGGCGUCAGUGACCGGUUCCUCUUAAGAGGCUGAGUUUCCCCCUCAGUUCCCUCUGAAUGACUUUCCACCACUGCGGGGGCCUCCCUCUUCUUUUCUUUGGCAGAAGCUACUGCCUUGGCUGCUUCAUAACCCAGCAUCUUGGGACGACGACCUAAAAAAAAGGUGCUUAGUAUGUUACAAUAAUAAUAAUAUCGUCAAUAACAAACAGUAAGUUCAGCUAUUACCUAGGUCAAACGGGUUUGAAGUAGAUGCCCUGGGAAUAGAUCGACUGGAUGUUCAAACUUGCACCAAGCCUGCUUGGAACAAAUUCGAAUCCGAAAUCACAAACUUACAAGAUCUCCACCUUUUUGGCAAUGCCCUUAUCACCUCAGCUCGCUGCUGUAUGUCCUUGGUCAGGGUCUCUUUCUUGUAAUCUGAAAAUAGGGCAAAGGUCAGUACUACAUCAAUGCUCACCUCGUCAAAAGAUCAAAUUAUAAAAAACUUACACAAAGAGUGGUAGAGCCUGUUCAUCUCAGAAGGGUGGAAUUACCACUCCCCAGAUACGUAAAAGAACUCUUCCUUCAUUUUUUGAUUGAGGAAAGAGUAUCUAACAAUAGUGAACCCCCGUCCUCGGCCUAACGCUAGUAUACCACCAGCCAGAGUUCUUCCCAUCCUCUUUAAAGGUAAAAAGGAAAUCAAAUUACUUAACGCUCAGUUCGGAGUUCCCCAUCUUGUCCCAAAGGAUAAGGAUGGCAAUUAAGGUUCGCCACCUAUUAGAGCACAACUGUGUGGGAGCUAUGCCCCAGAAGCAUAGAAAUUUAUGGAUCACUCUAGCGAAUGGAAGCCUAAGUCUGACCUGAAAAAUAGCCGAGUUUAAAGCGACACAUCCCUUUGGAGGGUGUCAGCUCGAUCAGAUAGCUCUGGUAUUAUCAUAAUUACUGAGCUCGGAAUGUCACCCGAAACGACCGACCUAUAUAAGCUAGGCCCCCACUCAUUUGGACUAUUCUCCUCAUUCCCCCCAUGAGAACCAACCUCAUCUCCUUUUAAACCCUCUCCUCCUAACUCCAUGCUGAAAAGACGCUCCAAGUCCAUCUAAUUAACUAUAGAAAUUGGGAUGGGAGCUAAAAUUUCUCAAUAGUUGAAUGAAGAACUAGGACUGGAAGGGAUGGACUCGUCUUGCUGGUUUCCCCACGAAUGUACCCUAGAUUUGUCAGAGCUCAUGUAUAGGCCGAAUGAAGAGCACUAACAGAAAGUAAGAGGAAGCAAAAAAAUACCUGAAAACUGAAGAACGCCAACCUCAAUCGGGAUAUGAAAAUAAAAGAACUCGGAAAAUCAGCUAUUGCUUUUGAGAAAAUAAUCGUGCAAAUCAAUAGAAUAAAAUGAAAAGCUAAAAGGAAUUUAAGAGAUGAGAAGUUAGAGGGCUUCAAUUUGGCCGCCCAUUCAAAAAUGGAGGGAAAGAUCAAACGGCCUAGAAACCUGCAAGUCAAAACGACGUAGUUUUAUGGCAAAACUUCCUAGAGAAGCAACCUAAAAGUGCUUAAUAGCUCAUCCCUAUCCAAACGUGACACUACAAUUAUAUUUCUCUAAAAGAGAACCAAUUGGAAAAAAGGUUAGCUUCCUCCUAUGUCAGAAUUGACCUGGGGCUGACUGUUGACAAUCAAACUCCGAUCUAACAAAAGGAAUUUGCUAACUCCAUCUCAGGCAGGUGUGAGUUCGGUCACUGCUCUCAGCUCGGACUCGCCCGCCUGUUAUCUCAGAAAAAUAUCAUGAAUACUUCCUGUCACAUCACUCUAUCAACCAUAUACACUUGCCACAAGUGACAUCAUCACUGCCCAUAAUCGCCAAUCCAAAGACCUGAUCUUCAGGCCUCUUGCAGGUCAUCAUUACCUGAGAAAAUCACCGACCUUAUCGACCAUUCACAGGAAAAUUAGACGACCCAAGCUCCGAGCUCAGUACUGUAGCUGAUUUGACUAAUUUGAUGUAAUUUCAGCUGAAACUAUGUAUAAAUAGUUGAGUAGAACUCUUGUAAAGGAAAGGCGAAUUCAUGUAAAAACUUAUGGUACCAUUACAAUUUCUAAACGUAUUUUGUGGUCUUUUUCAGCAAUAAAUUUCCCUUUUUCUUAAAGUUGACUUAAUAUUAGCCUUACUAAUUUUGAUGUCAAUAGGAACCAUUACCCCUUAGAUUGAAAGAAGUGAGGUAGAGAUAGAGGAUCAUCCCACGGACUUAGGAUCUAUAAUGAUUUUGCGAGUUAUACAUAAAUUGAAUGAUCAAUCUAGUGAGCAUGGUGAGCAAUUAGAGGAGAUAUGUAUUCUCGAUGUGUGAUCAACAUGAAAUGUGAUAUGAUAAGUGUGGUGGGAUCUUUUCAUAGAGUUAUUUAUGUAUUUGUUGCAUAGGUGUUGGUCAUUUGAUUGAUUAAUUUGGUGUUAGUCUGUUAUUCUAUAUGAACUUGUUUGAAAAUAUCUGUAUAUUAUCCUAUGUUAUAUCACCAUCGCAUGUAUGAUAUGUUCUUGAUUGAUUAUUGUGAUUAUUUGCUUCUACGUUUGUCUUCGUGACCUUAGUCUUAGUGAAUAUAUGGAGCAAGUAUGGUAUGUAUUUCGAUUUUGAGACAUGAGAUAAGGUAUAUGAUACAUAUUCUAUUUGUUACUUUGAUUGUGCAAGUAUAAAUUUUGUAUUUUGCUUGCUUGCAGAUUGAUUAGAUAUCAAGGUAAAAAAAAUUUGAGCUUUUGACUUCCAAAAAUCAAGCGAUAAUGAAAAAUUAAUGUCGAGAAUUUUAUCGACACCAAAGUGAUGGCUCAACCCAAAAACAAUUAAAAAUUUGGAUAGUGUGUGACUGUUGACUUGUUGGACCAUUUGAUUAUUCGCCUUAGCCCGUUGGAGGAGUGUUUUUGACCCAAUCUUGUGAUGACCUAAAGUCCAUAUAUACUAGGCAUCCUUGUAGCUAUUUCUCUUUGUGUUUGAAUACGGGAGUGUUUGCAAGUGAAGAGAGAAAAACAAACAGAGGCAACCGAUUUCUUGACAAAAUCAACCAUGGUUUCCUCUUGUUUUCUUCUCUACCUUAGUGGCUACAACCAAACACCAUUUUUAUAUUACUUGGGCUGUAAGAAUGAGACAACCAAAUGUUGAAGUGUUGAUGGUUGAGAUCGCUAAAGUGGUGGUCAAUUGUGUUAAUUCCUGAACUUGAAAAUCAAAUUCUUCAAAGUUUCCACAACACCACACAAAGUGAAAAAUAAGCAGAAGUUGAUCUUCUAUUGUCUCUGUUUCUAGUAAAAUCAGAAUCAACAUAAUCUCUUAACGCUAUUUCUUUUACUUCUUCUAAACAUCAAACUAAAUGUGAAGUUACUUUUAUGUAUUUGCGCAACCAUUUUAAUGCUUCCCAAUGACACUCUCCACAACUAGACGUCCACCUUUCACGAAUUUAUAUAGAAAGAUUUUGGAUAACAUUCUAGGAAUCCAGCUGAGCAACCAAAUGUCCAUUACGACGGCCGCAUGCUCAGAUCAGACGUCCGACAGUUUCAGUCGAUUUUUCCCUUUUCGGCCUCGUUGAUCCAAUUUGAAUAUUUUGACAAACAUAAACUUUUGGAAGGUAUUUUUAACCAAUUUUCAAAGUAAAUGAUGUUUAAAAAAUAUGAUAAAUUCAAACAUCAUUUUGAAAAAUAAUUUUAAUUUUGAUAAAAACAAUUUAUGCAAGCGAUAAUUGAAAUAACUUUUUGUGCAAAAAAUAAUAUUUUAGUUUUUAUCAUUCAUUGCUAAAUAUGAAAGUAUUAGUGCCUUUACAUUUGAACUAAGAAAUCUAACUUUUGAUCUUAUUUUGAAGUUUUAGCUCUUAGGCUCUUGUCUCGAUCUUUCUUUGACAUUUGACUCUUAAACCUUUGGUCUCGAUCUUUGUUUGAUGUUUAUCUUUUAAGAUCUUUUCUUGAAAGACAUGUCUAGAAUGUGUGACUUCAAUUUUGACCUUCUUCAUAAGUUUGAUUUGUGAGUCUUGAUUUUGAUCUUUUGAUGACCAUCGAUCAAUUUAUCAUUGGUUUCUUUGAAAAUUAUAAUCACUUAAAUUCAAUUGUUAGAAAAUAAGAUUAACUUGUUUGUUAUAACAAAAAUUUUAAGGUUACAAUCAACCAUAGGUCAACAUCGACCCUUCCAUCUCUUUGAUGAUGACCCCGAUGGAUGUGAGUUCAAGUCUAUGGGACUUUAUCCUUAGAGAUCUGUCUCACCACUCUUCACAGGUUAGUACCGUUUCCAUCACUUGCACUCAUUUUGUCAAGACAUGUCUUUUCUUCAAUUGGGGUCUGAAUCAAUUGGGGUCUGAAUAGGUUUUCUUCUAAGUUUCUUCUUUUCCUUUCUUUAAGAACAAUUUCAAACACUCCAUCUUUUGCUACUUUGAGUACCAAGCGGAUGAAAAUAAAAAGUAACUUGACCUUCUUCAAAACUUCUACUUGUUUUUUCUUCAUGAACAAUACUUUUUUCAAGGGGAAAGAAAAUAAGUUUCUAGUAGACUUUUUACCCAAGGGAUACGCUUGUAAUUAAAGUAUGGUUUUUAAUAGAUGAUGUCAAUUUGCUGAUCUCAAAAUCUGAUGAGACAUGCGAACAACAAACCCUAGCUCUACUCUCAUCCACACAUAACUUUACUACACACUUGGACAAAGCGUUAUGUAAACGUUACCUCUUCUUCGAUAAAGUGGGAGGUGACCACAGGUUUUUUUAUGCUCAGUCAAUCAAUGGUCAAAGAUAUUAUGGGUGUAGAAGAGAUAAUAAAUGUAAGUAAUGGGAUCGUGUUGAAGAGACAAAAUAACAAGUAAUAUACUUAAGAUAUAUAAAACUACAUUGCCUUAGAAGACACUAAGUGCUUGUUUGGCAUUCUUUAUUUAUUUUAUGGUUUACUAUUAGAUCAUUUUUAACCACAGAUUCACACAAUAAAAUAUUCUACGUGUAUACCAAACAUUUUUUCUACUUUUUCACCACAGAUUCCCUAAAAAAACCAUUCAAAACUUCUUUUCUCGACAAUAAUGAUUGUCAGACAAGCUCUAAAUGUGAGUUUAUACAGUACGGCCAUGCUAACGGUACAUCGGGGUGUACAUCACGGUGUACACCCCCCUCACAUGGGUGGGGGGUCCACUCGAAUAUUUUAUUCGAGUGGGUCCCCCCAUGUGAGAGGAUGUACACCUUGAUGUACAAAAGUUGAUGUACCACUAGCAUUUUUCUAUACAGUAAGAUAGAAGAGGCGGUGUCCAUUGGAUGCCUUACACAUGGCCUCAUCUCAAUAGCUCACUGAUCAGAUUUGAUAGGUGUUAAUCCCAGCUAUUCAAGGCCUGUGAUGAUCUUAUAUGACCUAAAAAGUAACCAACCUACAUCCUAGGCCUACAACUUGAAAAGUAGACUGAAAAACUGACUAAAAACAUUUGAUGCAGAGGUACCAGUAUGUAGGUACACGAAGUAUCUCCUUUUGAAAGAUCAUUAGGUUGAAGCGGUGUCAAGGAAUACGCCUUGUGAGGCAAAGGCCUAUCGUCAGUAACUUGUGACAACCUCAAUUCACUCAUGGAGCAUUGCAUGUUGUGUCGCUCCGAACGAUGCAUCUGAAUCACCUCGCCUUUCGCCUAAUCAUUUCGACCAAAGCUUAGGGUGACAAGGUAAAGUCGAGUAUGGGACUUGAGUGGCUUCUUAUUCUCUCUUAGUUUGUUGCCCAGUGGCCUGCAUCGUUGAAUGAGGCGUAACAGGUAUUAGUCUCAUUAGCCCAAUCUUUAUCUUAACGUUAUAUUAAAAGAUAGGAAACACUUAUAAACAACAAUAGAAUUAUCAAUGUUUUAAAACUUUUUCCAUUAAAUUGUUUGCUUGAGGAACCACAUUUAUGGAUUCUAUUUUUUGCAAAUGUUUAUUAUCAACUCAAGCUCUAUAGAACAUAAAAUUUAAUAAAAUAAAGAAAUUUCUGUUUUAACAUUUAUUUUUAGAUGAGGCAGUACAACGAUUCCACUGCUUCUUUGGUUAAUUAUUUCAAUAAAUGCUAUUAAGAAUCUUGACUAAUUGCAGGAUCCAUGUGCGUGGAGCAAUGGUUAAUUAUUUAGAUAAAUGCUAUUCAGGAAUCUUCAGGUUCCAUGUGCAUGGAUCAAUGGUUAACUAUUCUGAUAAAUGUUACUCAGGAAUCUUCACAUAUUGCGGGGUAUCCAUGUGCAUGGAGUAAUGUAAACUAUUGUCUGCAUCAGCAUCAAAAGACGACAAUGGAAUUCGCUGUUUAUUACUUAUUAAACCCCGUUUGUUAUGAUUUUUUAUGUCAGAAAAUUAAUAUUUUGAUCAUUAUUUUGAUCAGUCAUCAUUUCUUGCUUCUUCACUCAUAGGUGAAAUUCACUUUUCUCUUUAACAGUUGAAAAAUUGAUUCUAAUAAUCAGUACAAAAUAUAUCCUAAAAAUAUUGAAGGAAAAUAAAAUGCUGAGAAAUCAAGAACCACAAAACCAGAGUGAGGCCAUGUGUCACUUCAGGAUGUACAGUGGGAAUUUUAAAAGAAUAUUAAUAGCAAUAAAAGCCGUAACAUAAAAUUUUUUUUUCCCCUUUCUUGAUAUUUAUAAUUUUCAUCAUGUGUUUAUUUUAAGGUUGCAUGUCAUGAUGCAAUGUGCAAGUGCGCACAUCCAUGCUAUGCAUGGAGACAUGUGACUAAGCAUUUGACCUUUGACCUUUGUCUUUGUCUUUUUUAUUUUUAUUUUAUUUUUCACACAGCUAUUUUAUUAGUAAUACACCAUCUUCUAACUAAAUACCGUAAAAAAUGUUUUAGAGAAUAAAAUAAUUUCAUUAUCAAAUAUCAUAUUUUUGUAGACAUUGAUUUUAAUGAUACCCUUUUGUAUUUUUAUCAUCAUUGACAGUAUUGCGAAAUUUAUAAUAAAAAUACGUAAUAUUAUCAAAUAUAUUUUGAAGUCAAUUUAUUCACCAUAGUUAUUUCAGAAUGAAUUUUUUUUUUUUGAUAUCUAUGAAUUCUAAAAUUUUGUAAAAUUACAAAAUAAAAAUAAUAUUUGUAUUUCAAUUAUAUAUAAUUGAAAAAGUUAAAAGCAUAAUUUAAAAAAGCUAUUUUUCCCUUCUCAAAAUCUACGGCAAAUUGAUUAGGUUCUUUCACAAUUAAUUUUCCUUAAGUUUACCAAAUACCCAAAACAAGUUCUGAUAGUUUGAAAAUCAGAAGUUGUACUAAUCUUAAAAGGUGCCCAAGUGUUACUAACUCUCUAUAUUAGGUCUCUAUUUUGUAGGGAUUAAAAUUAAAUUUUAAGUAAAUUUUGAUAAAAAUUUAUAAAAUAUAUGGUUAAAAAUUUUUGAUACCAUAAAAUAUAAUUAAAAUUAAUUGUUGACUUUAACUUAAAUUUUAAAAUCUGAAUUUUAAUUUCAACCAAAAAAUAAAUAAAUUUGACUAUACAAUAAGAUCUCUCGUUAAGCUAUAAAGUGACGUGAUAUUAGUCAAAAGUGUAAGUGCGCGCAUACAAGUAUUGACUAUGAUUUUCUACGUAAACCCUAAUUAGUGAAUUGUUGAAUUAUGUAAUUAAGUAUAAAGAAUAUGAUUAAUGUUAGGCUUUACAACAAUAACUCCAUUUUUACGUAAUAUGAUUAAUGUUAGGCUUUACAAUGAAUCAACGAUUCCAUUUUUACGAGCAGAUGAAAUUAAUACAUAUCUGAGAUCUUAUAAUAUAUUUAUUCAAAGCGUCUUUACAACUUCAAAAAUUUGUUAGAUAUUUGGUAGCAAUUUUUAUCUCAAGAAAUCAAUUUUAACUGUUAUUUCACUAUUUCAAUUAGGGUUGUAAGCAAAAACCGCAAAAUCGAACCGAAACCGCAUUUUAGAAACCAUUGGUUUGCUGCCACGUGGACCCGAUCAACGAAAUAGUUUUGACCCAAACCAAACCGAUCAAAAUGGUUUGAUUUAGGUUUGAAAAUUUUAAUUGCGGUUUAAAAUCAAAUCGGAUCGGCGAAAAAAUAUAUAAAAAUAAAAAAAUGAAAUUUUUUGCAAAUUCAUCCAAAUAUGUAAAAUUCAAUAGUUUUGUCAUUUGUGAGUAUUUUUGUAAAUUCCUAAUUUUCUAAUACAUAUAUAUUAUUAUUAUUGUUGUUGUUGUUAUUAUUAUUAUUAUUAUUAUUAUUAUCAUCAUCAUCAUCAUCCAAUAAUCCUAAUAUAUAUUUAAUAAUUUUAAGACUAACAUAAUCUAUCAAAAACUUUUUUCCUCUUCAAAAUUUAGAUGAACAGUCGACAUCCAACACAGUUUUGAGCCAUCGACACCACACACUUCUUUUCAGAUUUUUCACGCCUCUUCAAAGUCGAAUUGAAGUCCAUUAUACCAAAUCGGAGACAGAGAAAUCCUAGACCUUCAGUGAUAGUGUUUGCUACAAAUAAAGUUUCAGAUCAAUAACUUUUUGGAGCAAACUAAGGUAAGAAUCUGAAAUUAAAUGUAUUUCGUAACAUCAUACAAACGUAAACUUGUGUAAUUGUUAUGUUUAGAUAUUAUAAACAAUUGCUUUAUUAUUGCAGUUGGUUAUUCUCUUUAUUUAAUCAAUAUUUUUUUCAGAUAUGAUGAUCAUGAGAUUUUGUUGGACAUCAUUAUGUUUUUUGGACCUUAUAUCUAGUAUUUUAGUAGACUUGUAUUGUAGCGUUAUUGUACCGUCAUUAACCUAAAAAAGGUGAACAAAAAUGAAAAAAAAAAACUAUGUUUUAGUUUAUUGUGAUUUCACUUUGAUUUAAUUAAUAUUUAAAUUUAUAGUAGAUAUAUUUAGCAUUUGUUUGAGCCAUAUUUUUCAUAUCAUCAUAAUGAAAAAAUUAACUAUUGGAGAGGAGAUUGGGUCCCACACAUGAAAUAGCAGGUCAACAAAGGUAGCUGGACUCAUGGAAUAACGAUCCAAAUUUUCAUUUUUUUGUCCCAAAAAUUUGGUUCAAACAGGGGCUUAGUUUGUUUUAAAUUUAUUACUAGUGAGAUAUAAAUAUAUAUUAAAUUCAAUGAAUUAAUGACAUAAAAGUAGACAGGCAAAAAAAUAUAUGGCGAAACCGGCGAUUUAAAACCGGACCAAACCGUUAUGUUUAGGUCUGAGUUUUUUUCAAACCGUUUAAAAUGGUUUGGUUUAGGUUUGGGUUUUUCUCAAAUCGUUUUAAACGUUUUGGUUUUAAAAUUUGUCAAAAAUCGGUAAAAUUGGACCGCUUACACCCCUAAUUCCAAUCGUUAUUUUUGACUUCUUCACUCACAUGUAAAAUUCAUUUGUCUCUCUUUAACGAUUAAAAAAUUAAUUCUCAUAAUCACUACCGAACAUAACCAAUAUAUAUAGUAUGAUAUUUUGUUUUAUUAUUUGAUUUACUGACGUGAUGUUUUCAAAGAGUAAAGUUCUAUUUAUCUUUUUGUAAUUCGUAUUAUAACUUCUGUCAUGAUUAGUUCAUGUUGUUUUUAUAAAAAAAGAAAUAUUACAACUCUGUUGAAUUUUUGUAUAUUAUGAAAUCUAAUUCCAUCUCCAACUUUAAAUUGAAAAUGCAUUUUUCAUUGCUUAACAUAUGACUUCAGUAGUGGUUUGAAUUUUGCAUUUUCAUUUCAGACUCUAUCAAAUUUGACUAAAUCGGUUUUGAUCAAGUUUUACAUUGUGCAUGGCUAAACUCAGUUUGUCUUGCAAGUCUGAAUAUGUAUUAUAGAGCUUAAUUUAUGAAAUAUAUAGGAAAAAGAAAAAAUGCUUUCAAAAUAAAAGUUUAUGUUUGAUGUGCUCUAAUGACUUCGAUUAGGUCAUUUCGGUGUCUUCAAAAUGAGAAUUGUAAAAAAAAUACAAAAGUUAUAAUUUAUCGAAGACUACAAUACAAUUAAUUAAAUUUAGGAAUGAUUGUAGCUGCAAUCCAUAAAUUUAUUAUUAUUUUUUUUUUUUAAGACUUUCAUCCAAAUAUUUCAUUUAUGUCAUCUUUCAAACCGUUCACUUCGUUGCAAUAGAAGGACUGAUUAGCAAAUGUAUAUUGUAAAGGUAAAAUUGAAAAUUUAUAUAUUUUUCAAAUAAAAUAAUUAAAAGAAUAAAAUAAUUAAAAAAAUGCAACUGCAAAUAUUUCUUAAAUUUAUUUGGGCAAGGACGUGCCACCCUAGCAGCCAAGUGUAUUGGACACUUGGCAGAGGGAUGUGGCACGUGCUACGGGGGAAAAAUUCCUGUUCGUUGAAUGUUUCCAUAUCCAAAUUAUAUCAUAUUAUAUAGGGCGGAUUCAGUACCUGACGAGCCUGCAUGGACUGCUUGUGCUGGAUCCUCGAGAAAAAAGGAUAAUGAAAUUUUUUUGUUAUAUAUAUAUACACCAAAUGGGGGGGUAUGCUGUUUUAAGAUGGCUGUUUUAGGAUGGCUGUUUAACUUUUAAUAGCUUAAUCCUACUCAGUACUCUCCUUAUUUUUCUAUAAAUCUUUCUUAAGAAUCGUGUAUAAAUCCCUUUUUUUUUUCAUUUAAAUUUUCACCACCUAUGACAUAUAAACUUGAACCUGAUUUCUUUUUAUAAGGUUACCCGUAGCACUCCCUUAUAAAAUUUUUAGAUUAAUUUCUCCAUUUCCCCAACAUCUCUAGAAAACAUCAAAAAGGCUCACUCCGGCCAAAAGUUUUCAUUCAUUUGGGUCACUCAGGAUUAACCUAAAAACAGUAUGGCUUCUAGAAAUCAAGUUAUGCUUUUAUUAUAUGCAUAGGAUGAAAUAAGAAACAUAACAGGUAUUUACUUAAAACAUAAUUGCAAAAAUAUGAACAUAAACUAAAUAAAACAUAAAUCAGGGAUUUAUAAAUUCAUCUUUGAAAAGAUUUACAACUAAGGAUUUCCCUUUCGGGAAGUCCCUAAAGUUCUAAAAUAAACUUAAAGAAAUACAAGAAUACCUUAAUUAUUCACAAGGAUAAUUCAGCUAUACAAUGAUUUUUUGGAUUGAGAAUUUUUCUGAGAAAGGUUUCAAAAGGUUUUUGGAUAGCAGAGAGUACACAGGUAGUAAACUUCUGCCUAAACCAAAUGAAACUUGUUCCUUAAAUAGAAAAAUUCUUGGGAGCAAAAAGUCUAAAAUAUCCUUGAAAAGAGUACACGUUUCACCGAGAAACUUCUGGCUAAUUCAAGAUAAAUCUAACAAGUGGAAAGAAGGUUUUCUACUUUUACAAAAGUCUAAAAGUUUACAGUUUAGGAAUCUUGAAAUUUCUACCAAUUUACGCAAAAGUCUAAAAAUAUCUGACAUCUUUUAUCAAAAAUCAAAAGUUCUACAGUAUUGUGAUAAGAUUCUUCAGCUUUUUCUUCUUUUCUUCUGUCACUUUUGUCUUGUUCUGCAUUAUUGANNNNNNNNNNNNNNNNNNNNNNNNNNNNNNNNNNNNNNNNNNNNNNNNNNNNNNNNNNNNNNNNNNNNNNNNNNNNNNNNNNNNNNNNNNNNNNNNNNNNNNNNNNNNNNNNNNNNNNNNNNNNNNNNNNNNNNNNNNNNNNNNNNNNNNNNNNNNNNNNNNNNNNNNNNNNNNNNNNNNNNNNNNNNNNNNNNNNNNNNNNNNNNNNNNNNNNNNNNNNNNNNNNNNNNNNNNNNNNNNNNNNNNNNNNNNNNNNNNNNNNNNNNNNNNNNNNNNNNNNNNNNNNNNNNNNNNNNNNNNNNNNNNNNNNNNNNNNNNNNNNNNNNNNNNNNNNNNNNNNNNNNNNNNNNNNNNNNNNNNNNNNNNNNNNNNNNNNNNNNNNNNNNNNNNNNNNNNNNNNNNNNNNNNNNNNNNNNNNNNNNNNNNNNNNNNNNNNNNNNNNNNNNNNUCCAUAGCUAGUCCAGCCCAAACGGUAGCUGGUAAAGACUCAUCAAAUCCGUUAAAGGUUAUGGACUUACCAAAAGCCCAACAGACUCAGGGGACUGUUGAUUCUCCUACUAAAUUAAAUGAUCAAACUCAGCAGACUGAUAAAUCUGCUACAGAAAAAGGUAAAGUAAUUUGGGAUCUCUUAGGACAGCCCAGUGGAAAAUUUGAUUAUUUAGUCAAAUAUAGUCCACCAGAACAUUUUUCCUCAGAACAUUUUUCAAAUAACCCAGAAUUUUCACAAGCCCAAGAAUUUCAAUCUAGUAAGGGAAAAGAAAAAAUGGUAGUCCAAGAUAGUCAAGAAUGUUUAUUUUUUCAAGAAUCACAAGAUCCUAAUCCAGAUACCGCUUCUUUAGAAAAGAUCUUUGAGAAAAUUGAAGAACUCCAAAAACAAUCUAAAAAAGAUGAAGGGACUUCUUCUAGAAAAAAGAAAAAGAUUAAGAAGAAGAAAAAUGAUGAAGGACUAAAAGAACAGAUAAGAGAAGCAGUUAACCAAGCAUUCGAGACAAUAUUAAAAAAGAGUCAUGAAGAAGAAAAAGAAAUUGCAGAAUGUCCAGACCAUAAGGAAAAAGAUGAAGCCAGUAACUCCAGAAUUUCAGAUGAAGACGAAGACCCACAAGAAGAAGGAUACAAUAAUUCAGACAGUGGAAUGUCAUUUUCAUCAGUGGCACGCCCUAAUCUCAGUACAUAAUCAGAUCUUCAAUAAUGCAGAACAAGACAAAAGUGACAGAAGAAAAGAAGAAAAAGCUGAAGAUUCUUAUCACAAUACUGUAGAACUUUUGAUUUUUGAUAAAAGAUGUCAGAUAUUUUUAGACUUUUGCGUAAAUUGGUAGAAAUUUCAAGAUUCCUAAACUGUAGACUUUUAGACUUUUGUAAAAGUAGAAAACCUUCUUUCCACUUGUUAGAUUUAUCUUGAAUUAGCCAGAAGUUUCUCGGUGAAACGUGUGCUCUUUUCAAGGAUAUUUUAGACUUGUUGCUCCCAAGAAUUUUUCUAUUUAAGGAACAAGUUUCAUUUGGUUUAGGCAGAAGUUUACAACCUGUGUACUCUCUGCUAUCCAAAAACCUUUUGAAACCUUUCUCAGAAAAAUUUUCAAUCCAAAAAAUCAUUGUAUAGCUGAAUCAUCCUUGUGAAUAAUUAAGGUAUUCUUGUAUUUCUUUAAGUUUAUUUUAGAACUUUAGGGACUUCCCGAAAGGGAAAUCCUUAGUUGUAAAUCUUUUCAAAGAUGAAUUUAUAAAUCCCUGAUUUAUGUUUUAUUUAGUUUAUGUUCAUAUUUUUGCAAUUAUGUUUUAAGUAAAUACCUGUUAUGUUUCUCAUUUCAUCCUAUGCAUAUAAUAAAAGCAUAACUUGAUUUCUAGAAGCCAUACUGUUUUUAGGUUAAUCCUGAGUGACCCAAAUGAAUGAAAACUUUUGGCCGGAGUGAGCCUUUUUGAUGUUUUCUAGAGAUGUUGGGGAAAUGGAGAAAUUAAUCUAAAAAUUUUAUAAGGGAGUGCUACGGGUAACCUUAUAAAAAGAAAUCAGGUUCAAGUUUAUAUGUCACAGGUGGUGAAAAUUUAAAUGAAAAAAAAAAGGGAUUUAUACACGAUUCUUAAGAAAGAUUUAUAGAAAACUAAGGAGAGUACUGAGUAGGAUUAAGCUAUUAAAAGUUAAACAGCCAUCCUAAAACAGCCAUCUUAAAACAGCAUACCCCCCCAUAUAUAUAUAUAUAUAUAUAUAUGUUAUUGUGUGAACAUCAAACGAUAGAGUGUAGAGCUUGUGGACGGGCAAUGCUUUUCUACACAAUUAAACACGGGUUUGAAUCCUUUUAACGGCACUCUUCCUUUUAAUUUUUAGAACUGUAAAUAAUAACUAAAUAUUAAUUAAUAAUUGUCACAACAAAGUGAAUGAAGCUCAUAUGGCAAAGAGGUCAUUUUGUUUGUUUGUUUUUUUUUUUUUAAUGAGGUGUCCCAACUUGCGCCAGACUAUAUCCUCGUCCCUGAACCUCUGGCCCCUCAGCAGCUCAGGGAGGUAAAUCGCGGGAUGUGCCCUUGUUGGUUCCCAGGUUCCCACACGGCUUUUACUCCUUCCCCAAAGGGAGCCUCUUCACUGCCUUACAGCAACUUGUCUUCUAAAAUAAAUCUUGCUUUCCAAGUUGUGCCUUCCAGGAAUCAAACUUCCCACGCUUGGUUCCAGAGCCUCCCAAUGUGAUUGUUCCGCCAACUUGGAUGUGCCCUGGGGGGCGCAAAGAGGUCACUUUAUAUGCGAGAGGUGUGGGUUUUUAUUUAAUUUUUUUAUACAACAAAUAAAAAAUUUAUUGACUCGAAUUAUUACUUCAUAAUUUAUAUACUUUUAUUGUUAGGUUUUAUCAAUUCAUUUUAUAACAUUUAAAUUUGGACAAUUUAUAUAUUGCUUUUUACUCUUUUAAGAGUUCAAAAACCCUUUUUUUUCUUUUGAGAUUAAAAAUUAUUCUAAUUCUAAAAAUCAUUACUUUCAAAAUUUUACAUAACCUUCACCUAAGCUCGGAGCUUGUCUUUACUGUUUAAUCAUGUUUUAUGUAUAAAUUUCAUCUUAUCUUGCUUAAGUUUGUAAAAAAAUUGAAACUUGACCAUGCAUAUAUAUAUUUUUUCAUUAUUUUGGAUUGUAUUGGAUUAUAUUUUGAAAUGUAUAUGACUUUUACGUUUUAGUGUAUUUAUACAUUGAUUUGAAUUUUUUUAAUAUUAUUUAAUUAAAUAUUAAUAAACAAUUUUACUAUUGUAGCCGUCAAGGGUUGGAGGCCGUCCUAGCUGACUCAAUAUCCUGGAUCCGCCACUGAUUAUACUUAUACACUCAUGUCAAUGUCCAAUUAAAAUUUUUAUUAUCUGUACCACACAAAAUAUUGCAAUUCUUUGUGUUCUUGAAUGUGCAGUUCCUUGGAGAAGAUGAGGGUUUCAAUUUGGAAUAAAGAGGGAGUGUUAUUGAUUUUUAUAUUUUGCAACUGUACAAAUCGUAACAAUUAAUAAAAUGAACCCAUGAGUCCAAAUAUUGAUCUCACGAGAAUUAUUAUAUAAUAAUUGAUUCAAUUAUUCGACCUAACUUCAAUUUGAUAGGAAAAAAAUAAAGUGGUAUAUAUAAUUGAUUAUAUUUAUCCGAUUGAAUUCUUCUAACAUAUUCAAUUUACCUCUCUUGAGAUCUCAAGAGUCUAUUUAAGUAAAUCAAUUCCAUAUUUUUAUGUGAAUUCGAAUAUACAUUAAUUGAACGUAUUAAAUCUCUAAGAAUUUAUGUAAUGAUUGCAUUAACUAGCGUAAGUAUCUCUACAUUUUAUACUAGUUUUCGAAUUUUCCCACGUGUCUAAACAAAUAAUCUACAUCUCUACGUACUUAUUUCUCACAAAAUCAAUGAAUCGAUGGACAAUUGAUCCAAGCAUUAGGAUUGGAAGUAAAAACAAUUCACACAAUCAAUUUGAUAUUUAAAACUUUUUAAUUAUUAAGGUUCAAAAUUAGAUUACAAUCAUUUAUCCUAACCAAUUACUUACUUAAACAUCAUGGGAGAAUAAAAAUAAAAGAAAAAAUUAAAGUCCGUCAUCGAAUUUUAAGGGAUAAUGAGAAAAAGAUGAAGAUCUUGCAUCAAGAUUCCACCCUCUUCUUGUGAAAUCUUGAAACCCUAGCUUCUUGAUUAAUUUUUUAUAUUUUUUCCUCAUUUUGAGUUGAAUAAUAUAUGUACAAUGAAAUUCCCAAACCUUUGCUUAAAAGAUACAUGUAUAAUGAAACACUACAAAUCCCCCUUUUAAUUGUUGAACUAUGGUGUGCAUGUAAAAACAAGACUUAGGCAAAAUUCUUGUUCAACUUGAUUUCCACAAAAGCGUUCAAAAUGGUUUUUACCAAAUAGUUUAAGAAAUAAAUCUUUUUUUUUUCUUUUCAAUUGAACUCCUUUUUUCAUGCAACUUUAAUUCUCAUCUUCUAUUAUUUUGUAAUUAAUUCAUUUUCAUUCCAAAAUCAUUAAGAAUUGAUCCGAGGCAAGUUUCAAAUGUUUGCAAUAUUUAGUCAAACUUUGCGAUUGUCAAAUUUAACUCUCGAAACACAUGAUUUUUUCGAAUGCUCCAUUAAUAUUUUCAAUUGAUGUCUUGCAAUCCAAUUAAUCUUCAAUUGCAUCAAAUGAACUCCAAUUAAGCUCAAAUUAACCUCUUUUCACAUAAAUUGUAUCCAAGUUGUGAUUUUCCUACAAUUAACAUAUUUUACAAAAAUUAAGUAGAUAAUCGCUCAUUUUAUAAAUAAUUAAAUAAGAAUAGAAGCCCAAAUAAGCACAUAAAAUACACUUAUCAUUGACCCCCAAACUUAAACUCUUAUUUGUCCCUAGCAAGACUAUCUGUUAAACACACAAGCAAUCAAAAAAUAUAAAUACAUUAAAUAACUUUGUUGAACUCACAUCAAUUAUUGAAAUCAUUUUAUAAUUCACAAAAAGUUCAUAUGUAAUGCAAUUAAAAAAAUUCUUUACUUACUCCAUGCUUGAUCAAUGUGUGUGUGCAUAGUCAAUCAAAUUAUCACGAAUUUCAAAAAUUAGUUAUUUCUCGACCCUUAGUUGUCAAAUAUUUCCUUACUCUCUUGUGGGAUGAACAUUCCCAGAUUUAUUUUUCCCUCUCAAGUUUGGUUGGGUUUCACCAAUGAAAGUCACUACCCCAAUACGUGAUGAUGCUCCUUAAAUUUGAAUAUCUCAACUUCCAAGUUUCAAAUAGGAUAUUAACCCUCACCAAAAGUCUAAAUUUCAAAUUAAGUAUCCAAGGCUUAGUCCGACAAAACAAUGCUUAGAGUUGUUUUGCUACUGCCUCAAUACACUUUUGGUUUGUUUUUCUUUCUUUAUUUUUCAUUGUGUCCCUUCUUCCAUUUUUAGGAUAUUUCCUUCGAUUUUCAAAGCCAAUUUUCACUCUACAUUGUAGGCAGCCUUCUUUCCUAGUAGAUCGUCUCUUAAACAUUGUUGAUCAAUAGGGUCAGAUUCUCAAAAAUAGCUCCACACAACAAAGUAGGAAUUUUUAUUUAUUAUUAUUAUUUUUUUUACGUGCCACGGCUAGUUCAAUGUCUUUUAUUUUUUGGAUAAGUAAUUGAAAUCAAACUCCUAGUAGAUGGUUGCUAUAUAGUCUCUACUUGUUAGCUAAAAAUAUUUCACAGCUUCCAACAUCUGAUCAAUCGUCCCAAACUUAUCUUUCAAUAGGUUAGUGGUUGUGAUACGUAUUGUGAUCUUGCUUUAUAAAAACCAAAGUGCAUUCAACGUAUUCUUUUAAUGUAACAAAGCCAAAAAUAUAUAAUAAUUAUUAUUGAUCUCAAAAAAUGUACCUUCAACAUGACAAACAGAUCCCAAGACCUCUCAUGUCCAAGCAAGCCAUAUUCCUGCACACUAAGACAAAUUGUUAGCCACACGUGGCCUUCUCUGGUGGGGGUAGAGUCGGCAGCACGCGCUCUUAAGGUCAAGUUAGUUUGGGAAGAAAUAUGUGGGUAUUGGAGGGCUUUUAACGUGAGCCUCCAAAAUCAAAUAAAGAGGGUCGGUAUUGGGAGUAAAGUAGAAAAUAUAGAGAGCAAAGUUAAAGUCUCAAAGUCUAAACUUACAUUACCCUUUAAUGACACUAAGUGUGGGCUUUUAUAGAGUGAGGUAGCGAGUGUGGACCUUCAGAUGAUAGGACACGUGGCCUCAUCUAUGUGGAUAUAACUUCCCAUCAUAGGCAUCAAUCAAUCCUUAACUAUUAAUGCUAGUACCAACUUUUCUUCCAUAAGUUGUAGCCUGUGGCAAUAGACUUGACUAAGUAGGUUAGUUGUGGCGACGGUGACAUGAAGUUGUCACAUUAGUCACUUCAAUAGAUCUAUUUCUAAAGAUUUCCUGCUAAGCCCAUUCUUUCGUUUUCUUUAGCCUUGCCCCCUGCCUGAGAGGCUCAGCCUUAAAGAGUUUGGCUGCAACAUAGAUUCGGCCACCACAUAGGUUCAUCCCACGGGGGUUCAGCCGCAAGAUUUUUGCCCCCUAGUUUGCGCACCUGGAGCCGACUGCCGAUGAUGUGGCUUAUGUUGUAAAAGCCAUAACAAUUCUCAUGACUAUUGUGCUCACUAUAAUACAAUCUAACGUAAACAAAUAUCGAAUUAGGAAAAAAGUCACUUCACAUGUUCACAAUUUAUGAAACAUAAACAAUCUUUUAUACAUAUAUCCUUUUUUUUAAAAAAAAAAAAUCAAUUUCUUUGAAAUUUUUUUAAAUUAUCACACAAAAAACAAAUAUAAACUUACUCAAGAAGAAUAUCACACAGACAAGUAAAUAAACUUUCUAAUUAAUCUACACCUCCCCCAAAUUUAAAAUACACAUUGUCCUCAACGUGUGCCAAACAAAAUAGGUUUAAAGAAAGGUUAGCAAUACUCACCAUGUAUAUGAUAUUUCUUGUCUAUCACUUGGUGUUCUAUCUUCCUUCAACAUCAUUUCCUUGCUUGUUUUGUGAAAUAUGUCCAUUUUGCCUAAAACAAAAAGAAAAACAAUGAUCACUAUAUCCAUAUGUGAAUUUAUGCUAAUUUAAUUAGGAAUGAUGAGUAUAAGCUAAUUAUGACCGAAAAAAUAAAGAAAAAUAAGAAAAUGGCAGGAUGCAAAGGGACGCAGACAAGGACACAAUAGGUGACAUAGGGGAGAUGCGGCCUCUUGCAUGCGUUUUGUGUGAAAACACUCUUAAUUCCAAUGCAAAUGCAAAAUUUAUCACACUGCCAUGUUCUAAAUCAAUACAAGAAUGUAUCCUGCAAAUUUGGUCCAAAAAUAUCAACGUUUGGUUCAUAAUGCAUCGUCUUCAAAGAAAGUUCCACCUUAAAUUUAAUGUUUCUUGAAUGUUUUCAUCCCAAAACUUCUCAUAAUCACACUCUCUUCGACUCCAUCAUCUAUUCCUAAUCCCAAUCAGGGCCGGUCUUGUGGCCAGACAAAUGAGGAAAAUAGUAAGUUACUUGGCAUCCCCAGAACUAUUUGAUCCACAAUAAUUUUAUAAUUUUGCAUGUUGAUAUAUCCCAUAAUACUGUCAUUAUCUUCAUCAUAUGGAUCAUCAAAUAUAACUUUUCUUACUUCCUCGGGAAUGGUCAAUAACAAGCAAUUUUUUUGUAUGAAGGAACACAUCACAAUAUUCUCAAGUCGGUCUAAUCUAUUCAUAAACAAUAGAUUUGAUAUUUAAUCCCUUUGGCAAGCCAUUCUUAUCAAGUAUAAUAGGUUGAUUGUAUCCACCAGAAUUGUUUCAUCGCCGGAAAUUGUGGCUUUUUAAGUUCUUGUGUAAAGAGGAAUUCUCCAAAGAGCAUGUCACCAUCAUCGAAGUUAGGAUCAAUCAAUGUGAUUUUUUGACCACUUUCUUCUUUUCAUUCCCUUUAAACAAAGAAAAACAAGUAGAACAAUAGAAAAAGGAAAAGAAAAUCAAACAAAAGCAAGAAAUAAUUUAAGCUUAUACUAAAUAAAAAGAGUCCAUGCAAAGACACCAAAAACAUGUUGAAUUUUUAUAUCCUGCAAAUGUACGGAGCGUAAAAAGUAUAAAAUGAAUCUAUGAGUUCAAAUAUCAUUCCCACGAUAACUAUUAUCUAGUAAUUGAUUCAAUUAAUCCUAACUUCAAUUUGAUCGAAAACAAAUAAUAUAGUUAUUUUUCUUUUUGUGAAUUUAUAUUUUAAAUAUACUAAAACAAAUAAAAGUGAUUUUAAAUAUGAUGGUUUAAGUGUUAGAAUUCAUGAUUUUACCAUAAUUAUCCCCUUACUCUCAAUCAUCAAAUUUUAUACAAUUGAUUAUGUUUACCAGAUCGAAUUUUUCUAACGUAUGUAAUAUACUCCUCUUGAGAUCUCAUUGAAUCUAUUUAACUAAGUUAAUUCCAUAUCUCCAUGUGAAUCUGAAUAUACCUUAGUUAAACGUAUUAUAUUUCUAAAAUUUAUAUAACGAUCACAUUAAAUAGCAUAAAUAUAUUUACUUUUUAUACUAUUUCCCAAUUUUUACUAUGUAUUCAUUUCUAAGUAAUUAUUGCUCACAAAAUCAAUGAAUUAGUAGCUAAUUAAUCCAAGUAUUAAGAUCCAAAGUAAAAACAAUUCACACAAUCAAUUUGAACUUUACAACUUUUAAAUUAAAAUUAAGGUUCAAAAUUAUGUUACAAUCAUUCAUCAUUAAUAAUUAUUUAAUUACACAUCAUAGGAGAAUAAAAAUAUAAGAAAAAUAUAAGAAAAAUUAAACUACAUCACCGGGUUAAAAGGAAAAAGAUAAAGAUAAAGAUUUUGCAUCUAGAUUGCGUUGCCUUCGUGUGAAAUCUUGAAACUUUAGCUUCUUGAUUGAUUUGUUGAUUUUUCGCCCUUUUGGCUUGAAUAAUAUAUGUACAAUGAAUCUUCCAAACCUUAGUUUAAAUAUAUGCGUAUAAUGAAACUCUACAAGCUCCCUUUUAAUUGAUGAACAAUGGUGUGUAUUUAUAAAACAAGAUUCAGGCAAAAAGCUUAUUCAACUUGAUCUCCACAAAAGCGUUCAAAUUGGUUUUUACCAAAUAGUUAAGAAAUAAAAGGAAACUAUUCUUUUCUUUUUUCAAUUGAGAUCUUAGUCCUUCAUCUUCUAUUAUUUUCCAAUUAGGUGCUCUUUAUUCCAAAAUAUUAGUAAUUGAUCCGAGGCAAGUUCCAAAAGUUUGCAAUAUAGUCCCAAACUUUUCAAUUGUUGAAUUUAACUCUUGAAACUUAUGAAUUUUUACCAAAAGCUCCACUAAUAUUUUCAAUUGAUCUUUUGCAAUCCGAUUAUUCUUCAAUUGCUUCAAAUCAACUCCAGAUAAGCUCCAAAUAGACUCAUUUCAAAUGAACUAUAUCCAUGUUGGGAUUUUCCUACAAUUAACAUAAUUUACACAGAAUAAUAGAUAAUUGCUCAAUUUAUAUACAACUAAAUAAGAAUAGAAGCUCGAAUAAGUGCAUAAAAUGCAUUUAUCAAAGAACAAAAGGGGAUUCUAUGUAAAGCAAGCUACAAGAGUAAUCCCUAAACACUGUAUGUAUUUAUUUUACAAAAUCAUUAUAUUCUAAUUAGUAAACAAAAGUAAUCAAAUCCUUUUCUAGAGGAUGUUUAUUAUCAAAGAAAUCAAUUUUUGUGGUAUAACAUCCAGUGUUCACAACACGUUAUGUGAUCUUUUGUUGAAUGUUCAUCAUUUUUAUUCCAUUCUCGUGUAGUCACAUUUUUCAUAUAGAUAUAUGAAGGUUGUAUAUAAGAAUAUGUUUAAACUUACUCGAGAAAGAUCAUUAGACAAAAUAUAAUCCCUGGUUGUCAAAUAUAUUGUGCAUCUAUUAAGUUACGAAAAAUUGAAGAUUAACGUUAAAAAAAAAUAUAUAUAAAUGGAGUUGAAGUCUUGUGCCUUUACAUGAUUGAAUUAUAUUUAAGAUCAUCAAAACCCUCAUUUUAUAGUUUUUCUUAGUAAUUUUAGUAGUUUUUAGUUGAAUACACCCUAAACAAAAUUUGGCUAUUCUGGUUGAGGUAUCAUGAAUUUAAAUUCAUAUAGAUCUAUAGAGGCGCCACACAAGCUACAGCCAGCCUUUUUCCCCCCCUUAUAUGCAUCCUUGCGUGAUUACCCAACGCAUAACUAUAAUACUUGUUUCGACACUGAAAAGUCUCGCCUAGAAUGCUGUGAUCACCAAUUCAAAUUUUUGUGUUACCAAGUUUACAUUCUAGAUUAUCAAUUAGUUCGACCUUACGUGCGGCAUUGACCAAUUAAAGCAAACACGUCACUUUAAAUUAGUUUCUAGAUGAUUAAGCAUAAAAUUCAAUUAACACUAUGUUUGAAUACUGCAGUUUAUAAUAAAUUGCUGGAAAGUGAAGAGAACAAAAUUUGAUGACAGAGAAAACUAACAUGGAAAAAACUCCAUGACCAAGUCAGUUACCUUCACUAUAGAUAGUUCAGGGAAUACACAGCAAAUCAACUCUUGUAUCCACUAAGACCAACUGUCACAGUCUCACGAUCUACUGCCGUAGAUACCUCUAGCCUAUUAGACCUCCUGAUCUAUUCCAGUAGUUUCCUACUACCGUAGAUGCCUCAAGCUUCCUGCUAGACUUUCUGAUCUAUCUCCUGCAGCCCAAUCUGCUAUCUCCUACGACCUCCUGAUCUUAUGCUGAAUGUCUUUUCAAGUGGAAUACCAAGAAUCGCAUGUUCUUGUGCUUGUAACUGCGCUUCAAUCCAUCUCUCUUAAUUCCCCAAUGAGAAAGUCUUUUCGUCAACAGAUUAAGGAAAUACGGUGUUUUGGAUUAUUGCACCUUGAUGUUUUCUCCAAAAGUUGGCUACCGGAUCAUAAUAAGAAUGAUUGAUUCCACCAGUUGAAUUUCGUUCUUGGAUCACAGAGAUGAUAGAAUGUAUUAUGAAGAUGAAGAACAAUGAGCAACCACUCUAAUUAUCACAUCCCAGACUCGUGUAUUUAUACUUGGGGGCAAAUAAUUGUCAUGGACCAUUUAAAACUCUUUUAAAUGCGACCUAAGGUUUGGCCACAUAUCACUAUCGCUCGAGAGACUCCUGGGCGAAAAACGAGCUAUGAUGGUUUCGCUUCAUCCACUCGAGCGACAACUUGACGAGCAGCUAGCGAAAAUUCGAUGAGUCUUCUACCUUGUUCAAAACUCAGCCCUAGCCUAAACCAUCUAUAUAAAUUGCAACCCAAGUCCCUAACUUUUACAACAUGUUCAAUUAAGUCCUUUUUGUUUACAGAAUAGCCAAUUACAAUAUAAAACCUAACAAACACUACAUAUGCUUUGACCUCAGUUAUUUAAAAGGAACACUGGAUUAACUAUACCAAAAAUUGUCAUUUACAAAACAUAAAAGGCAACAUUCGGUAGUUAAUAUUGCUAAAGGGUCUACCACAACAUUUUAAUGAGUAAAUGUUGCUAUUGGUUAGCAAAAUUGAGCUUUGACAACAUUUUUUAAAUGAAUAUUGCUAAUGUCACAUUUUGCAAUAUUUAUUGAAUGUUGUGAAAAGUUUCAUUUUGCGCAACGUUUAAUAACGUUGCGAAAAAUGGAACUUUUUGCAACACUUGAUAAACGUUGCGAAAAGUUUCUUUUUGAAUUUAAACGUUGCGAAAAAUGGAACUUUUUGCAACACUUGAUAAACGUUGCGAAAAGUUUCUUUUUGAAUUUUUUGCAACAUUUAAUAAACAUUGCAAAAAGGUUCUUUUUGCCGUUGCAAAAAGUUCACUUUUCGCAACGUUUAUCAAGUGUUGCAAAAAGUUCCAUUUUUCGCAACGCUCAAUAAACGUUGCGAAAACAUUUAGACAUUUUUCCUUUUUGCAACGUUUAGAAAACGUUGCGAAAAAUGAACCCAAAUAAAAUUAUAUAUGGACCCAAAACAAUCCAAACCCUAGACUAAUAAUUCACGCCUCUCUCCUCUCUUCUCCUCUUCACUAAUAAACCCCUAACCUCUCUUAAAGAAUCAGGCAUUCACCAUCCCUCUUCUUCCACCUCAUAUGCGCCUCCUGCAAGUCUCCCAUCCUCAUAUGAGUCGAGGUCACUCUAGAGAGAGAAACAAAAAAAAAAUGUUGAUAUCAAACGGAAUCGAAGAUGAGGACAAAUGGCCAGCCGAAGGCAUCCCUGGAAUUCAACACAUUGCAUUUUAUUUGCAUCGCGCUUUGGUAAUUUUAAAUUGAAAUUCUCAGAGCCCUAGAUUCUCAAAUUAAUUGCAAGUUUAAUUUGUUUGUUUUUAAUAAAAUUAAGGAUUCGAAUAAUCUGAGAGAAGCACUCAAAUACUCAAAGCAGUUAUUGUCUGAGCUUCGAACUUUGAGGCUCUCGCCUCACAAAGGUAGCAUCCUUUCAUAAAAUGUUCUCUUCUCUUCCCAGGAUUCCUCACAAAUCACGUAAGGGCUUCCGGCUUCCUCAAAGUUUCAAGCAUACAAAACCUCUGCCUGGUCUCUCAAUCUCUUCGCAAGCCAACAACUCCCAAAAAUUCUAAUCUCUACUUUGAAGUUUUAAUAGAUGGAAGAAGAACAGGUAAGUCAAUUUUUUUUCCCGUUUUGCACCUGUUCUUCGACUUUGAAAUUACCCCUUUCACUUUGCUUAUUUUGGUUGAAUAGUCCCUUUUGUGUAUGUAUGGACUUCAACUUUUGGGUAUUUUACCUGUUCUAAUUAUUCUAAUGAUAUAGUUCCCUUUUGUUUAUGUCAACUGAGAUUUUGCUUUUAUACACACACACACACACCACUGCAAAUUUUCUUUAUUUAAUACUGCCAUAUAUAAUUUUAAAUUUAUAAUAAACAAGAUGUUAAAAUUAAUAUAUUAUUUCGAUUAUGUAUAUUAUGUUCUCAGCAUAUAUAUAUAUAUAUAUAUAUAUAAUUCUCCCCAUGAUGGUGAAAAGGACAACAGAAAGUAAUGGAGUGAUAAAUUAUACUUUGGGAGAAAACUAUAUUAAUUAGAAUUUAGAAACCACACAACCAAUGGUCUCUGUUUCCAGCAAGACGGUUUAAUUUGUAGUCAUCACUCAAGUCAAGUUAUUAAAUGAAUUGGAUGUACUUUCUGGAAAGUGUAUUAUACAUAAUGUAAUAAUGCUCCAUUCACUUAACUAAAACAUACAACAUACUGACAUAGUGAUACAGCACUAUGGUUUUGAAUUAAACUCUCCUCACACGUUUGCUUGUGAAUUUGAACUAUAUAUUGUGUUAAAUAAAUUUUUGGGCUAGGCAUGUCUUGAGACUAUGAAUGAUUGCAUUUUAUUUUUUAUUUUGAAACUAGAAAAGGACAGUUGGGGAGAAUUGGUCUUUGCAACCUUUUUGAAUUGAACUUUUUUAGGUCAUAAUUCCUUUUCAAAGUAUUCUAAUGCAGGUCAAAAAUAUAAUUAAAAAUAGAACUACAAUCCACAAGAGACAUGUUUGGGCCUGGCAGUUCAGAUUCUCAGCUGAACAAUAGUGGAACAGUUUUCGUACCAACGCUGUUUGGGUGACCAUAUGGGGGAAGGAGGGUGCUGUUGAGUGUGUCUUUCACCAGGUCACAACUUGUUAAUAUUCGAGGAAAAUUCUCGCCUCACAGUCCCCAAACAUUAUCCUUGUCUUUGGUCCCUAUUGUAUUUUUUGCAUUUAGGUCCCCAAGCUUAUUUUUUGGUGCAAAUAAGACCAAUGGACAGAAAUUGUUCAACUUGUUGUCAAAUAGUCACUUAAAAGUGUGUCACAUAACCCGUUCUUUCAAUGGUGUUUUUUUCUACUCUAACCUAAGCUCCCAAUUCUUUAAAGGGACUAUGUGAUGAAAAAUUGAAUGACAUCGGUCCAUUUGUCCUUGUGUGCACCGUAGAAGACAGUUUGGGGACCUAAAUGAAACCAAAAUUUGGAGGGGAACAUAGUGCGACAUGUUAUAUUGUUUCGUAAUUGUGGGUGAAAAUUCCCUUAAUUUUAUUAGAAUUUACUUUUAAGUGAGUUUACCUCUUUGCAUAUAGUUUAUUCAACAAAGAAUGUGAUUCUUGGUUUGCCAUGUUUCGGGAAUGUGCAGGUGGCUAGAUCAAGGAAGUUUAUCAAUUUGGAAGUAAAACACUCCUUGCAUCAUUGGUAAAGCUUAGCAAUCUACAAGUUAUUCAAGUAUUUGAGAGUUGAGAGUUUGUUUGCAAUGUUAUUUCAUGUUCAUGUAUUGCCAAUGGUUCUUAUUUAUUUUUCGUCUCGAUUAUAAUUGGUACAAAUGUCUAAAAUGUGGUAUCUAUCUUUAUCUCCUUUUUUUUUUAUAGGCCAGGACUAAUAUUUAAGGCACAGCUCAUGUCGAAGAUUGCUAAGAAGAAAAUUAAAGAGGCCGAUAGGGUGGUUUCACUCACUACUUAGUUGGUCCUUUUUUUUUUUUUUUUUUUUUUUUGGGAAAAUGUAUUGGAUUUUUAGGUGUUGUAGAAUUUUGGAUUUGGAAUUUGUACGAAUAUUGUUACAUUUUAGAGUUCAAUUAAUAAUGACUUUUGGAGUUAUUUGAUAUAUUUAUUUUCUAUUAUGUUUUGUGGUUGAUAUAUGUAAAUAUACUCUACAAAAAAAAAAAAAAAAAAAUAGUAAAAUGACCUACGGCAACGUUUGUUAAACGUUGCAAAAGCCUAUCUUUUGCAACAUUUGUUAAACAUUGCAAAAGCCAAACAUUACAAAAGAGAGGCUUUUUCAAACGUUACAAAAGACUCUCUUUUGCAAUGUUUAACAAACUUUGUAAAAUCCUUUUCUUUCAACGGCAACAUCUAUCUUUGCAACACAGGCCAAAACGCUAUAAAAGGUCUUUUGCAACGUUUUUUGGCGUUGCAAAAACCUCUUUUUGGUGUAGUGAUUACAUAUUGCAUUUAACCUUCAAAAGGGACAUAUGAGUUCCCAAACUUUACUUUGGUUGAAUUUAGGGUUUUAUUCUUAUCUUUUACUUAACAAGUCAAAAGUAUUAAAAAGACAUUUUUACGGUAUAUUUAAAUAGAAAAACUUCAUAAAGAUUGACAUUAAAGUUUAGAGACCAUUUCCGAUCGAACCUAUGAGCCAAUGAUGAAUCACAUGUUUUUAUCUAAGCCAAGGACAUAGUGAAUGUAUUCAAUGGUGAUUUUCAACCUAGAACAUCAAAAUAGGAGCAUCCAAAAUGGGAGAUUUCAAAGCUCAAAACUUGUCCAGAUAUAUAACCCACCAUUUGACAUAUCACAUAUGUGACUAGUUAUCUGUGACCUAUGAUUUAAUUGUGACAUAAAAUUUUGAUAAUCUAUGGCUAAUUAAUUUGAAAAUCUGUGACCGACAAAUAAAUUGUGACUUAUAAGUUUUUUGAUAUGUGACCGAUAAAUAAUCUGUGACCAAUACCUAUACAUAUGUGACCAUUAAUUGUAAAAUUGUGACAUUGUGACCUAUACCUAUGCCUCUAUGACCAUUAAUCUGUGAUCGGCAAGUAAACUGUAACUUAUAAGUUUUUUGAUUUGUGACCGAUAAAUAAUCUGUAACCAAUACCUCUACAUAUGUAACCAUUAAUUGCAAAAUUAUGACGUUGUGACCUAUAUUUAUGCAUCUGUGACCAUUAAUUGCAAAAUUGUGACCUUUACACAUUUAAUUAAUAAAAUAUUUUAAUUAAUUAAUGAAUACCUGAGUUUUGAAUUUUUAAACUUUGAACCUGAAAAAUUGAUUUGUACUUACUUAAUGCCUUAGUUUUGAAUUUUUCCCUUAUUUAUUUGUAGUUACAAAAUAAGGAAAAAUAUUUGAUUUUGCGUAUAAUAUUAUUUUAUCGAAUAAUGUGUGGUUAAAAAGAAGAGAAAAAAUGUAUUUUGAAAAUAAUGGGAUAAAAAAGGUUUAAUGGAGUAUACAUUUUGUUUGACUGUAGUAAAUUUCAAAUAAAAAGGCAAAACUUAAGGAAAACCUCAUUGUUUAACCUUUUUUGUGCUUUGGUUUUUUCGAUUCUGACUCCGUUAUUUUUUGUUAACAUUUUAGCUGUCAAAUUGAGUAUUUCGAAACACAGUCUUAAAUAUUCAUCGGGUCAAUUUAUCUUUGAUUGUUGUAGGUGGUGUCAUCUAUUUAUGACGAUCAGUAAUUUUGAUUGUACAGAAUCAUUCCCAUAGAAUAUAUCCAGAAAACUCACAUGGGGUGGGUCUCAUGAGUUUUUAUUGAAAAAAUAUAACCACCCAUCCCAUGAAUAGUGUGAUCUGUAAGAGAUCUGUGCACUUCCUUUUUGUAAGUGUAGUGCAAUUCUUAUGACGAUAUGGAAAGUGCAGUACGUAUAGUGGAUGUUCCUGAAAGAGUACUAUUUUCCUCAGGGUCACUUGGAACAAAUAGCCUUCUCUUUACCUUCUUAGGACAUUUCCCUAAUUUGACUUGCAAUUUGAUAUACACAAUAUUUUGAUGUGUUCAGGGAUAGAUUCAAUAUCAGACUAAUUUAUUUACAAAAAAAAUAAAAAAAAAAUUACACAACAUUUUUUUACGUAAAAUUUUUUGGCACUAAAAUAAAUAUUAAAUGGGCUGGGGACAGAACCAGACUACAGCCUGGUCCAGUCCUCCCAUGUAAGUCCCUAGAUGUGUUGUUAGAGGUACUGCUACAAAGAUCCGAGGUUCAAUCCUCAUCCAAAGAUCGUUUGUCAUUUUUUUCCUCAUUUCUCAUUUUUGGUAAUGAAUAUGGUUUACUACGACACCAAACAAAGAUUUAUUAAUUACUUAUUAUAGUACUUCACUAGCUGCUAAGAAGUAUAGAUUAUGGGGUACUUAGCAGUAGGCCAUACGUUUUAUUGUCAAAUUAUAAAUUUAUUUUGGAUAGACAUGGAUCAUUUGUUAUACAUCAACAAACAACAACAUCAAAUCUUCACUGGGUUCAUCGGAUAGGUGAUUUAUGCCCGCUUUUGUGGUCUCUAUGUUGAUGAAAAGAAUAUACUUGUUAGGUUUGUGACUCUGAUAUGGAAUAGGAGUCUUGGGAUUAUGUGUUUGACUUGGCUUAGAAAGGAAUUAUUAGAAUCCAAGUUUGAAAGGAAAUCAAAUUAUAUCCAAGAUAAAUUAGGAAACUAGAAUCCCAUCCACUUUUUGUCCUAAUUAUAAUAUAUUUCCUUACCUUUUAGGACUCUUUUAGGUUUUUGGUCGUGGCCUAUAAAUUAGAGGCACCUCUCAUCAGUUUUAAUUGUAACAGUUAGCUAAAUUGGUUUGUAUUUUUCAUAUUGUUCAAUAAAAACAUCGUUUCUUAUGCGUUAAUUUCCUCUUUUACAAAUUUAAUCUUGUUUUUCAUCGCGUGAUCUGGUUUACUUCAUAAUUGUCAUUAUAAUCUCAUUCUUCAAAAUCCAUUGGAGCCAACUUGUGUUUUUUGGAGCUUUCGCGCCCAACAAGUAGUAUCAGAGCUUGGUUCCUUUCAUAGGUUGGUUGAGAUUCUUUCGGGAUGGCUGGGUUGAAGUAUGAUAUUUCGCAACUAGAUCGCAAUAUAAGGUUCUCAUUGUGGCAAGUAAAGAUGAGGGCUAUUUUGGCGCAGUUGGAUUUAGACGAUGUGUUGCUGGGUAUUGAGAAGGUGCCAGCUAAUUAGACAAUGGAAGAGAAACAACGGAAGGAUCGGAAGGUUGUUUCAUUAAUUCAUCUUCAUCUGUCCAACAAUAUUCUACAGGAUGUCUUGAAGGAGACAAUGACGGCUGCUUUGUGGUUGAAGUUGUCGCUGUUGUGUAUGACUAAGAGUCUUACAAGUAAACUAGCUUUCAAACAGAAGCUGUAUUCACAUCGCAUGGCGGAAGGAGAGUUGUUGGAAGACCAUGUUGUCGUGUUCAAGAAAAUAGUUGCAGAUCUGGAGACGUUGGAGGUUAAGUAUGAUGAAGAGGAUCUUGCCUUGAUCCUAUUGUGUUCGCUGCCUAGAUCUUAUGUGUCGUUUCGGGAUACUAUAUUGUAUAGUCGAGAUACUUUGACUAUAGAAGAUGUCUAUAAUGCUUUGCACUCAAAGGAGAAAAUGAAGCAUUUUGUUGGAGCUACAUCAAGGGAUGGGAAAGCUCUUGUAACUCAAGGUGGUCGACAAAGAGGUAGAUUGAGAGUCAGAGUUAGCAAUGUGACCUGUUACUACUGCAAAAGGAAGGGACAUAUUCGGAAGGAUUGUGAUACGUUGCAGGCUAAAGGUGAUUUAGCUGCAAAUCAUAGGGUGCAACCUUUGAAUUCAGACGAAACCUAUGUACUUGAGAAUUGUUCAGAUAGCGAAGAGGUGAUGUUAACCGUGGUAUCUGAUGUGGAGUCUAGGCCUGACGAGGAGUGGAUUCUUGAUUCAGCAUGUUCGUACCAUAUGUGUUCCAAUAGGAAUUUAGUUUAGACAUAUGAGGCUAUUCAGAAAUGUGCAGUUGUAAUGGGAAACAACCAAUCUUGCUGUAUUGUCGGGAUUGGUCGAGUCAGAUUGAGGCUGAGGGAUGGAACAUUUAGAACAAUUGAUCAAGUUCGACAUAUUCCUGACCUGAAAAAGAAUCUCAUUUCGCUUAGUACCUUGGAUGCAAAAGAGUAUAAAUUCUCCAAAGGAUGCGGAGCCUUGAAGGUCCGAAAGGAAGUCCUAGUUGUACUGGAGGGACGGAAAAUAUCACAGUUGUACAUUUUGUAGGGGAGUGCAGACCAAGUUAAGAGGAGACAUUUGGAAAAGUUUAGUACCAUGAUGAAAGUUCAGUUUGAUACAGUACCUCUUGUGUUGGGCUCUGGGUCAAUUCAAAACACUGCUAGGGAGAGCGUAGGCGAUUUCGCUUCGCCACCAAUUUCAGUGAGUAUACUAUGUUCAGUUGCUGGGGUAGGACUCAUCGAGCAUAGGUACUAUAGUAUCAGCAAUGUUUGGGAUGCUUCUGGGGAUGUUGAAGGCGAUAGUUCCAGUAAGGGGCCUUCUGAUCAAGCAUCUGGUUUGGUUCUUGCUACAGGGUGUGCUUCAAUCCUGUGUGAUCAACAUUAAUUUCUUGGUGGAUUUGGGAACCCUGGGGAUUGAGUUCGGGUGUCGGUUGUGGACGCCGGGCAGAGGACGAGUUUUGGUUUAUAUAGAGUGGUUACUGUGUUGAGGAGAUUCGGCCGGUUAAUUUCGAUGCAGAUGAAUUUGGAAUCUAGGAGUUUCAUUCGUAGCACUAGAAUUAGAGUUAAGGUGGAGAUUGUUAGGUUUGUAACUCUAAUAUGAAAUAGGAGUCUUGGGAUUACGUGUUUGACUUGGCUUAGAAAUGAAAUAAUUAGAAUCCAAGUUUGAAAAGGAAAUCAAAUUGUAUCCAAGAUAAAAUAGGAAACUAGAAUCCCGUCCACGUUUUCUCCUAAUUAUAACAUAUUUCCUUACCUUUUAGGACUCUUUUAGGUUUUUGGUCGUGGCCUAUAAAUUAGAGGCACCUCUUUUCAGUUUUAAUUGUAACAGUUAGCUAAAUUGGUUUAUAUUAACCAUAUUGUUCAAUAAAAACAUUGUUUCUUUUGCGUUAAUUUUCUUUGUUCCUUUUUUACAAAUUUAAUCUAGUUUUUCGUCGCGUGAUCUGGUUUACUUCAUAAUUGUCAUUAUAAUCUCUUUCUUCACAAUCCAUUGGAAUCAACUUGUGUUUUCUAGAGCUUCCGCGCCCAACAAUGCUUUCUAUUAGUGUAGAACUUUAUUGAAAAGCCAUUUCAAAAUGUAUCAAAAUGUAUCAGACAAGGCGCGAUGGGUAUUUUCAUUGGGAGAAAAGCGCAUAUGCCAAGCAAAACUUUUAUGCUAUUGUUUUGAUUAAAAUAAAAGCACAAGUGAGUUGCUAGCAUUGUAAAUUUUAUAAACACAUUUGAACGACACUAUGACUUCAACGGCUUUAAUAUUCUAGCUUAGUUAAACAGAUACUUCAAUAAAUGUGCCUAACUAUUUUCUAUUGAUGACAUUGUUUACCACAGCAUUCCGGCCUUCUUCGGGUAUUUACACUACCAAGAAAUGCACUAGAGGUUUCACAAGUUUUUAAUUUGGUUCCUCCUGCUUAAGCAACUUCCUUCCCAUACCUUAGGUUUAAAAAUUGAAGUAAUAGCUUUUUUAAGCUUCUAUUUGCCAAAUAUAAUUUGAAAAAUUAUUGGAAAGAAGCUUAAAUAUCAAGAAACCAACAACAAUAUCGUCUGAUUUAGCCGUGGUUCCUUAAUAUGUAAUGUAGAUACCGUUUGCUUUACUUACACUAUCAUAAUAAUAACCACCUUAAAACAAAUAGACAUAUUGUUGACCUCAAUUUUUGCGCCAACAAAAUCUCAGCCACCUCUCCUUCAUGUAGACAUUUCCUGCACAUUAGAUUACACCAUCAGGAGGCAAAGGCCACCAUUCGAUAAAAAGGUCCGACGACCUUUUGCACAUUGACAAUCAAGUCAACAACUGGAUGAUAGAUAAAUGAGUGCAAGAGACGGGAAAAAGAAUUUGGUUCGGGUUAAAAUAACAUAACUUGAUUGUGAAUGAACUCACAUAUUUAUAGGACACAAAUGGGUUGAGUAAACUAGUGGGCCAGAUCCUAGCCUAGGCCCAAAAACGAAUGCUUGAUAAAAUAGAUCCAAUCCAAUUAAAUAAUUGAUGUCGAGUCGACCAAUAUAAGACCUCGCCCAUCAUGUGUAUGCCACGUAUUUAAAAUAUAACAAUAGUCUUCCAAGUUUGAAUAGUAUAUUUAUAUGCAUGUCGAAUUUGAAAUAUAUAUAUAUAUAUAUAAUUAAGAUAAAGGGUAAUUAGUAUAAAACAUUCUUAUCUUUCAAUGUUAUUGUGUAAAACGUUCAUACUCUUUUUUUUUUUUUUUUUGACAUUUUCACUCUUACCCUCACCUUUUAUUGAGGAAAUCAUCAUUUUUAUCAAAUUUCUCAUAUAAAAUGACAAACAUACCACUAAUUUAAAUAAAACAAUAAAAAAGAAAAAGAAAAGUUAAGGAAUAAAUUGCAAUCAUACUCAUAAACUUUUUAACAAGUACAAAUGAGUCCAAAUAAAUUAUUAAAAGGAUAAUUAGCACAUACAUACCUACUUUUCAUUAUAAUUGUGCAAAACGUCCAUACUUUUUAUUUUUUGAUAUUUUCACCUUUAUUUUUAUAUUUCAUUGCUAAAUUAUUAUUUUCAUCCAUUUUAUCAAUUAAAAGCUAUAAAAUGACAAAUAUAUCAUCUUCUUUAAAUAAAAUAAAAUAAAGAGCAAUUGCAACUAUACUCUCAAAUUUUAGAAAAAUUUUUAAUUAUUUAUUUGGAAUUUAUUUGCAGUUUUUUGAAAUUUUGAGAGUAUAGCUACAAUUUUUUCUUUAUUUUUAUUUUUGUUUAUUUAAAGAGGACUGUAUAAUUGUCAUUUUACAAAUUUUAAUUUAAAAAAUGGAUGAAAAUAAUGAUAUUUGCACUGAAAUAUGAAAUAAGAGUAUAAUGUCAAAAAAGAAAGAUAUGGAUAUUUUUCACAAUAAUAUUGAAAGGUAAGAACGUUUUGUGAUAAUUACCUUUUAAUAAUUUAUUUGGACUCAUUUGCACUUUUUAAAAAAGUUUGAGAGUAUGAUUGCAAUUUUGUCUUUAACUUUUCUUUUCUUUUUUAUUAUUUUAUUUAAAUAAAGGGUAUAUUUGUCAUUUUAUAUGAGAAAUUCGAUGAAAAUGCCAAAAAUGAAAGAUAUGGAUGUUUUGCACAAUAACAUUUAAAGUGAAGACAUUUUGUGCUAAUUAUCCUUCAUAAAUUUUGUGAAAUUUCUUUUUCAUUUUUAGUAUGUAGAACACACUUAUAAAAUUGUGAAACACAUGUUCAAAGAACUAGUCACUAAAGUUGAUUUCGUCUCAAUUGUCACUUAAUCUAUAAUAUAUUAAUGUAUUACAUUAAGAGAGAAUCAUUUUAUGAACGAUUUUAACCUCUUUGCAAUUCAAUUAUUUCAAUAAUAUCUUACUUUUUUCGUUUUUCGAUAUGUAAUAAAUACUACAUAAUUAUUGUCAUUUCUGAAAUUUGUGUUAUUAAUUCUCAAUUAAUUAAUAUUCACAUUAAUCUAGAUUUAAUGAAUUUUCACUCGAUGAAUCUUGAAUUAUAUGACCUUAGAUUUAUUAUAGAUGAAUUUAUUCAUAUUCAUAUAUCUAGAAAUUUUAAUGGGUGUUCAAAUUUAUGUAAUAACAAUUAAUUUUUAUGUAUCAAAUGUAAUAUAAAAAGAUUGCUAAUUUAUAUUAUUUCAUCAUUACAAAAAAAUUGAAUCAUAAAAAUUGAGUUUUAAGAGUACAAUUUUCUUCUUUUAAAAUUUUAUGCUAAAUUUUAUUUUCUUUAAUUCGUCCGAGACUUACAAAUCCUCCAACAAAUUGGUACUAAAUAUUACUUUUACAUCACUUAUAAAGUAUUUUAGAAUAACAAGCAAUGCAGGUUCAACUUUGACUAGUAUAUUAAAAUGUUUCAAUUACUUAAACUUAGACAAAAUUCAGAACUUUAGACCAACCACUUAAAUUUUCUUCAAAACUUAAUGGUUAAUCCUUAACUCACCUUUUUAUUUGUUCCUCUGACAUGAAUAUAUAAGUGAUAGCUCAAACAAGUAGUUCAAGAAAAAGAGGGUAAUUGCUAUUUGCACAAGGAAAAAACAAGGAAUGUAACAAAACAUAUAUAUUUUUUAAUCAGAACGGUGAUGCGUGAAUUUUAUUCACAGCCGGACCUGAUGGGAGGCCCAAGAGGCCUCCGCCUCAGGCCUAGAAUUUUAGGGGGCCCAUUUUUUUCACUUUUUACCUUUUUUUUUUGGGUGAAAAAACCCACUAUGCCCAUGCGUUCAAAAGAAAAGACCUCCAGACUUCGAGAAAUCAACGGCAAAACCUACAUGUUCAGCGGUGGUGGUCGGAGCUAAUGUGGUGGCCGUCCUGAUCGAUUCACCGUCAACAAUCCACCUCUCAAAUCACCACUCCUUUUUGUUUAGGUUAUGUCUAAAAUCUAAAUUUAUUUUUCUUCUUUCUUUCACUUUCCUGCACAUAAUAUAGUAUUUUAAAUUUCCCCCCUUUUCUCUUCCCUUUAUUUUGGGAUUUUGGGGUGUAAUGCUGUUAUAAUGUUAUUGGCUGAUUAUCUAUAAAUCUCUUUUUUUCGCCGAUUUUGAAAAUUUGAAUCUUCUAAAGGCAUUUUUGAUUUUCCUAACUUUUAGUCAAAUAUUCGAAUGUAAUUUGAAGAAAAAAUAAUGGACUAUUUUGAUGGCAAAGCUCUACAGUAGGAAAAGAGAGUGUGAAAGGUUUUUAUUUCAUUUCAAAGUUGAAUAGGGCUCACUGGCUUAAUUUUAUACAAGCAAUUCAAUUGCUUAAAAAGUUACGAAUGGUUUCAAGAAGAUUUUAAUUUUAUUUUAAUUUUAGCUGAAUAUAAAUGGGAGAAGAAUGGUGUUUGUUUUGAGUGUAGUUGGAUAAAGCCUUUAGUUAUGAUUGAAUCCAUAAAGACAAAGGAAAACUUGCUGUACUUUUACAUGAUGUAAGCCUUGGGGCUUUUAGCUACUUGUUUGAACAUGAGUUUCUUCCUAUGAUUCACAAGGGAUCAGAAUGGUCUCAUAAGCAAAUGCCUGUAGACGUGGUGGAUCAUAUUGUGGAUGUGCAUCAUAUUGAAAUAGAAUUUGAGGCUAUAAAAAGAGCAAUGGCAAUGAUACUUGCUAGUUCGAAAGGUAAUCGAGUUAUUGGUUGUAGAUGUCUUAUUGAAAGCAAAUAAUUAUCUAGAGAUAGUAUCUCAUAUACAUGAUCCUUCACAAUAUUGGAAGUUAGAUGACACAAUAAUCUAAACUAUUGAGACAGCUCCAGACCUAGAAUUAAAGGAAUCAAGGACUUGAUCCUUCGUAUUCGUCGGAGAGAUUUAUAUUAGUUUUGUAAUGAGUAUGCUAUUCUCGAGGAGCAACUAGACAAUUUUAAGGAUGUCACUCCACAAGAUAUUGUUUGUUUGCAAAAAAGUGGUGGAAUGACACUUAAGAAAGAGGAUGUUGCAGUCACCAAGGUUUUUAUUUCUUAUAUGGAAAUGAUUAAUAGUGGGGUUGUUCUAAAAAAAUGGGGUGGCAAGGUUUAGUCCCAAUCCAAAGUAAUAAAAAUAGAAAUUGAGAGUUAAGAAAAUAAAGAUUUUAUCAUUUUCAUUUUGCCUUUGUUCUAUGGCCUUUGCUGAGAUAUUAUUUAUGGACUGCUUUGGGAUCCCUACAACUUAUUUUUUGCCUUUGCUUUUUUCACUUUUCAGUAAUUGUUAGCCGAUGAGUGACUUGAGUCAAAUACCAUGGCUCCUAAAUCUGCAUCUGGUGCUCAAGAAAAAAAAAGAGAGAGAAAAAAAAGAGUAGAUGCAUUAAUUCGAAGUCAGAUUGGAUAAACGAAUAAAUACUUUAAUGAGAAGAGAAGGAAGGAACACCGAAAAAUUUAUUUGUUGUUUUAUUGUUGUUUUAAGUAAACAAAUUUAAUUCUGUUUACUUCUAAUUUUUUUUUUUAAAAGGGAUUGUGUAACGACCCGAACCUCUCGCCCAAAUCGUUAGCUUAUGUACUGUCUGCUUUAAGUGGGCUUUGCACCCACUUACCCCUCAUGGCUUUCUUCGAGUUUCCCAGGAUUCGAACUCUUGACCUCUAUAUAAGUGAGACUUAAGUUGAAUUCUGGUACUAAUUGGGUUAACGGCUUGGGCGAGAGGUCCGGAUUGUUACAGAUUAUUUGCUACAACUUAGGGCCUAGGGCCCACAUUUCAAAGUUCGCCUCAGGCCCCACGAAGCACAGGUACGGCACUGAUUUUAUUACAAAUUACAAGAUUCAGGUGUCAGAUAGCGGUUUCUCUUUUCAACAAAGAUGCAUUAAUAGUAGUUUCAUUAGUCCAACAACAUAAAUAAUAAAAUCACAAAAAGGUAGUAUUAGUUCUUCUACAUAUGUUUUUCUUGUAAUUACGACAAUAGUAGUUGAGUGGUCGACGUCUUAGUUAAAAUAUCAAACUACAUCCCAAUACCUAAUUAACAAUGGGAUGGCAAUUAGCCAAUCUUGGUUUUGCUUUCUUAUGAAUAUAGUCCUCAAAUGAGAAAACCUUAAUGUUUGCUUAUAUUUUAUACGGCAACAAAAUAAGUUGUACGAUGUUUAUUCUUGGGUCUAUUUGCUUUCAUUAGCAUAUGCUAGUUUAAGACCACUACAAGUGACGCAUGUUAAACAAGGAAUUCAAGUGAAAACCUUAAGAACUCAUAUUUUGGAAUCCACUAAAUUAUGUAAAAAAUGCACUCACGAAUUUUAUUAAUGAAAGAUGAUGAAAAACAAUGAAUUAACCCCUUUAUUUAUAAGGAAUUACAAGAAAACCUAGUUUAAACAAACUAAAAUUAAAAUGAAUUCAAAAUAAAGACUCACUUUCCAGCUCACAAUUGAGAAAGUCUUCAACUUCAAAUGUCGGAGAAAGACUCUCUACAAGCGGAUAGAAGUACUCUAAAUGAUAAACAUAGCACUCGAGUCCUAAACGAACACGGAUGGCCAAUAUCCAUCAUAUGUCACGAUGAAGCUAUAGUUCUACUCAUCUCAUUAUUCUCUUUCCGAAAUGAUAUUAUGGGCCCAAACCAGAAUUCAGAUACUCUAUCUGCACUAUUAUUUUUUUUUCUUAUAUUGAUCCAAUUUUUCUUCAAUAUAUUCAACAAUAUGUUCCACAUCAAUUGCUUCUACCUUAGAAGAACUCAAUCUCUAGUUAUAAUCUUGAUAAAGAGACUCAUCAUCUUCAUGGAACUCGUAUAGAUCUGCCACAUUGAAUGUACUAAAGAUAAUGAUAGAAGCUGGCAAAUAAAAAAUGUUGGCAUUAUUGUUAAUUCACUUAUGUACUUUGACCUCAGUUUCAGCUUUUUGUAAAUACCAACGAAAAAUCCCUCAUAUCUUAGAAACACAAUUAUUGAAUCUCCUUCUUGAAAUUGUUUAUUCCGUCAAUGUGAAUUUGCUGCUGCCUUAAACUUUGCAUUAGUCUUCUCCAACUUUUGUUCUACUUCAUCAUUGACCACUAACACCUCUUCUACUAGAUGUUCAGCAGCAACACUCUUACUAUUGCCCAUGGGCAACUUCACUAAGUCCACCACAUGGGAAGGAACCUGGUUAUAUACAAUAGCAAAUGGGGACUUGCUUGUCGCAGUAUGAAUUGUGCUGUUGUAUGCAAACUCUACCUGAGGCAUUGUAAGAUUCCACAGUUUGGGCUUAUUUCCACAAAUACUUGGAACCAUAUUUCCAAGGUUAUGUUAGAUGACCUCAGUUUGUCCAUUAGUUUAGGGAUGGAAAGUGCUGCUUCGAUUUAAAUUUGCUGUGAUAGACUUGGGAACUCCAUGCAAUCUAACAACCUCCCUAAAAAAUAGUUUGGCAAUACUUGAUGUAUCUGAAGUCUUCCAACAAGCUAUGAAGUGAGCUACCUUGAAGAACCUACCAACCACCACAAAAAACGAAAUCUACACCCUGUUGAGAACAAGUUAAUCCCAGAACAAAAUUCAUAGCAAGAUUGUAUCAUAUGCCCUUAGAGACCAGAAGUGGCAUGUACAACCCGACAUUUUGCUAUUGUUUGACACCUGACAAGUAUAACAUUUUCUAACUAUAACUCCAACAUCUCGGUUCAACUGUGGACAAUAAUACCUAGCUUCCAAUAUUAUUUUGUCACGUCCCAAGUAUCCACUUAGACCUCCAUUGUUCAGAUAUUGAAUCAACUUUUCACGUAGAGAUGAAACAUAAAUGCAAAGCUGGUUACCUUUGGACAAAUAUCCAACACUAAUAUAAAAAUCCACCAUUAAUUCACGAUUCACAUGCUCUAAAUCUCUUUAAAGUUAGUAUCAUCUGCAUGUAGUUCUUUCAAGCACUUAAACCCUACAAUUUCCUAUGAUAAUGUGACCAAUAAAGAAGCUCUCCGAACUCAGGGCAUCUACAAUUUUUACCAAUAAAGAAGCUCUCUGAACUUAGGGCUUAUACAAUUCUAUUCAUACUUCCAGAUUUUUGUUUAAUCACAAAAGAAAAUUUUUGGAGGAAAGACACCUACACAGCAUGCAUCCCGCUGAUAUGUUUCUGAAUAUGAAUAAACUUCAAAGCUUGGUGAAUAGUGGACAACACAAACUCGUUUUUUUUAUAAGAUAGUGUUCUCAUUGCUUCAAAGCUCUUACAACAACAUAGAAUUCUUGCUCAAAGGUACUCCACUUCUACCUAGAAUCACUCAACGUUUCUAAAAAGAAAGCCACAGUUCUCUUCUUUUGGGAAAGGACAGCUUUAAUACCUACACCACUAGUAUCACACUCAACCUCAAAGAUCUUCUCGAAGAUUGGCAAAGAUAAUACUGGAGCUGUGUACAACUUUUCUUUGAUGAAUGUGAAACUCUUAUCGUGCUCUUCUUUCAUCCUGAAUCUCUCAUUCUUCAAACAUUCUAUGAGUAGUGACACAUAAUGCUAAAAUGCCUGUAGAAAGUUGCCAAGCCAUGGAAACUUCUUACUUUAGAAAUAGAUUUGGUGUUGGCCAAUCUUCGAUUGCUUGUCUCUUUUCUUCAUCAAAACUGAAAACCUUUUUCACCAACCACAAGACCUAGAAACAAUAGCAUAUGCAUAUAGAAAAUGUACUUUUUAAAGUUGAUUUACAACUGAUUUUCUUUCAAAACCUCUAUAACUUGCCUCAACUAACUCAAGUGAUCUUCUUUGGACUUACUGUAAAUGAGUAUAUGAUCGAAAUAAACCAUAACAAAAGGCCCAAUAAAAGGACAAAAAACCUUGUCCAUCACCCUUAUGAAGGUACUCAAAGCAAUUAAAAGUCCAAAUGACAUUACCAUCAAUUCGUAAAGUCCGAAAACAGUCUUCCACUCAUCGUUUGAUACUGAUCUAGUGAUAGCAACUGUGAAGGUCUAUUUUUUAAAAGACCUUAGAAUCCCAAGUAUAUCUAUCAUGUCCUCCAAUUGCGGAAUGGAAAACUUAUAUUUUACUGUUAUCUUAUUGAUAGCGUGAUUGUCAAAAUACAUAUGCCACUUUCCAUCCUUCUUUUGUACUAAGAGGACAAGUAUUGCACACAGACUCAUAUUCUCCCCUUAUGAAUCCUUUCCUUAAUAGUUCCCCAAUUUGUUCACUCAGAAUCAUAUUUUUUUUUGAACUCAUUUAGUAAUGAGGCAAAAUUUGAAGGCUAGCUCCAGAUGCUAAAUCAAUCUGGUACUGAAUAUUAUUUACAUGAGGUAACUCAUUCUGCGAUUCAUCAGAAACUAAAUUCUCAAAUUCUAUCAAUAUUUCUUUAGCCUUUAGUAAAAAACUCUGUCUUUCUUAUUUGUUGUAAAAAGCCUCUUAACCACAAUUGGAUAAAAGCAAUCAAAUUCUUUUUAUAAACUUUGCAAUCUUCUUCUCAUUACUUAUAAGGGUAAGAUAGUUCUUGGUUCGUUAUUGAGUAGACUUCUCAGCUUAUUUGAGAGGAACCAUAGCAAUCUUAUAAUUGCCUUAUGAACAGAGUACCACAUUAUCACACCAUUUUAGAGUUGAAUCUACAUCAAACUAUCAUGGAUGACCCAAUAGAUAUGGAAAGCAUCCAUGUCAUUUCAUCACACACAAUUUCACCUAUGUAGUGCUUGCCAAUGGAAAUAGGUACUUUACAAGUUUUAGCAACUUGAACGGAAAGGAUAUCUCUUCAUCUAACCAAGAGAAUAUGGUUUAGAAUGAUUCUCAGUUGGUAAUUCCAACAAAUUCACCAACCUUUUCAACACAAAAUUCUCAAAGCUUCUGUUAUCCACAAUCACUUCACACACUCUAUUCUUCACAUAACAAAGUGAUCAAAAGAUGUAGUAACGCUGUCCCCCCUCCUCAGGUGAUGAAAAGGUCCUUUGCAGUACAAAAGUGAGCCUUUCUACACAUUCUUCAAUAGCAAACUCCACUUCUUCAUGCUCAUCUUCCCCCUCAGUGUCUUUUUCCUCAUCUACAGUCUCUGGUUCCACCAAAUUAACUUGCUUUCUUUCAAGAUAGGUAUUGGAAUGGCACCUGGGCUUGUAGCAUCUAUAAUAAGCAUUUCCAGUGGACUUAGCAUAUGGAUUUGCAUUUUCAGGUACAUCUCAAGUCUGACCUUUAUUUCCAAACUAACCACUGUUGUCAAUAUUACUCCUAUUAGGAUAAGACUGCCAGAGGUUUGUUGGGGGCAUUUUCUAUAGGAAAUCGCCCUCUAUCAGAUUCCAUCAUCUCAACAUUCAUCGCCAUUUUAAUGGCUUCCUUUAAUGUUCAAAUAUUCUACAAUCCAGUUCUAUCUUGAAUAGCCACCUUCAAACCACGACUAUAUGGCCACUCUUGAUUUUUAGAUUUUGGCAAAUUUUUUGCUCUGCCAAUUGCAUAAAUUCAUUGGUGUAGUCUAAUACUGUACGAUUGUCCUGCACACGUCUAGGUACAUAUGAUAUAAAAUAUGUUCAUAAUCUGUAGGUAGAAAUCAACCCAUCAUAGACUGUUUUAUCUUUCUCCAAAUUCAAAUCAAAGUCUUCCUUUAUCUCUUUCUGGUAUUCUGUAAUCGAUCCCACCAUAUAGCUGCUGCAGAUUUCAAAUUGAACGUCACCAUCUUAGCCAUCUUGUCCUCUUAAAAAUUAUUAAUUUUGAAGAAUCUUUCAACCUCUUCCAACAAGUCCAAAAACUCUUCGAUCUUCAUGUUACCAAAGAAUGAGGGAAUGUCUACUUUCAUCUAAUAAUCAUCAAAGAUAUUUUGAUUUUGAUGUUUAGGGUUAUGUGACGGUGCUUCAAACUCCUCAUCUGACUUCAACUCGAUAUUUUCUACUACAUGUCUCCUAUUAUUUCCUCCCCAAUCUAUAGGCUCAAUGAUCCGUUCAUUGUUGAUUGCAUGUUGUUCAUUCUGCCAUUAUUUCCAACACCCUGCUACAAUAGUUGAUGAAUCUCUUUGAUCUUAGUAAGAUCGCUAAUUCAUUAAUUUUGAGUGUCUAGAUUUACUCUGGUAAUUAGUAAUUAGUAUGUCAUCCAUGGUUAUAAACAAAGAUAUAGAGAUGGGAAAGCCAGCUCUAUACCACUUUAUCAAUAUUUGAAAAUAUAUAAGGUUUUCCAUUCAUAGAUCUAUGGAUAGCAAUCUAGUUAUAUUGACGAGCAUUUUCAAACUUUCACGUCACUAUAUGAAAUAACAAUGUAUAAUUCAAAUUAAAACCUGACAUUUAAAUUAAUGCAAAUCCACCACGCAAUUCCUCAACCUCUAUUCUUGUGUCUGUAUUUCUCUAACUUUUUCUCUCUUUAAUUAUUUAUCAACAAAUCACUGUACAUGAUCAAAUCCAUUAAAUGACUAUACUUUCUUAAAAUUACUACCUUAUACAUAUACAACCCCUAUACAUGAUUUAAUCCAAUAUCUAGAAUUCAAUAUUUAUCCUUUAGUUUCAUUCAAACUUGUAAAAUCUGAGAAAACAAAGGUUUGACAAGAACGACAUUAACAUCUCGGGAAUAGCACUUUUUGAGAUUAAUUUCAAAAAUAGCACCUGUACUUAGAAUUACUUUAAAAACGGAGAAAUCAAAACUCAAAUCCUUAAUUUAAGUGUUUGACAUCACACACAUGACAAUCAAAAAAAUACAUCUUUAUCUCGCAAACCCAUUCAAAAUUUCACUUUCUUCCACACGAAUUUUCAAAUACACAUUUCUUUGCUAUAUUCUUAAUUACAACCUCAAAUACAUAUCAAUAACACCUAAUUCAUGCUAAACUUUGAAUUAAAGCAAUAUUUUCAUAAACCCUAAAAAAAUUUCAAAGUAACAUACAUUUUAUUUACCUCUUGAAAAUAAGAAGAAUUAGGAAUGAUAACCCUGAGCUUAAAAACCGACAACUAUUCCUUCUUUUUUUUUUUUUUUUUUGCUUUUCUCUUUCCCUUUUUCUCCCUCUCUGCUUCAUUUUCUUUUCUUUCUGUUUGGAGUUCUAAAGUGAGAAAAUGAAUCAGAAUCCUUAUCCUUUUCAAGUGGAUAAAUAUAGUGUAUUUGUAAGCCAAGUCCCCGAUCUUUGGAUUAUAUAACAUUUAGUCCCUUUAACUGUAAUAAUAGGGAAAUAAAUCAAAAAAUUCUUUCUUUAUUUUAUUUCUUGGCCGUUUAUAUAUUAUUAUUUACAGGUUAAGCCCCAUAAAAUUAUUUGUUCAACCUAAGUCCUUACUUGACUUUGAUUUUGACCAAUUGAAUUUUUAGACUUUGACUAAAUAAUUUUCUUGACUUGACUAUGAAUGAAUGGGUUUUAACAAAUAAGCUACGAAUUGGAGCAUAAAAGUUACAACUGAGCAUAAAUUACGAUGUAAGAAAUAGCUAGUUAUUUAAUUUUCUGGAAACACUAUUUAGACGACUUCUUGUAAUAUAGGUUUAUUAUAGUUUGACCAAAAUUCUAGUUGAUAUUGGAGUUUUUAGUUAAAAUGGUUUUCAAUAGAUCAAAAUUAUGAAUCGAAAAGCAAAAUCCUUGCAUUUUCGCUAGCUUGUCGCUAGCUAGUUGCUCAAGCGAUGCCUUCAAAUUUUCUUCAGGAACUUCGUGCCUGCCAGUUGCUCGAGUGGGGGGAGUCAUCUCUUGCAUAUUGCUAGCCUUUUGCUCAAGUAACAAGUUUUUUGACCAAAGCCCAUUUGCGUUUUGACAAAAAAACCUUUGGAGAUGAAAAUCUUUUUUAGGCACAUUUGUGGGGCAAACAUCGAGGGGAUAUGUAAAAGACGACAAAUUUUUGAAAUUUGUGGGAUAAGAUUCUUUCUUACGAACUCUUUGGAGACUAAUACAAUUUGUAGCGUAAGUUUUCCCUUGACAAAAGCAUUCGUCUGCUAAAGUUAAAUUUUUCCCACAAAAUGGUUUCGCUAUUUCCUACGAAUUAUGUUGUGGCUAAAUCCUAUUUUUUCCUACAAAUAACUUUUUGUAUGGAAAGAAUAUUUGUGAUAACAUCGUACAGAUUGUUUUGUAGGCUAAACCCUAUAUUUCUCUACAAAUAAUUUUCGUGAGGAAGCAUAUUUGUAGGUUAUUAAGACAAAAUUCGUAGGAAAAAAUUAAAUUUUAUUUUCAUAAUUUUUUUAUAUUGCAAUAACUUUUUUUAACCUUAUUCAAAAUAUUAUAAAAACAUAAAAAACAAUAAAUUAAUUUAAACAUAUAGUGUCAAACAAUGUAACAUUGAAUCUAAAAUAUUUUACAAAACACAAAAAAAAAUCAUUCACUAAGUAUAAUUACAUCUAAAUUUAAAAGGGUAUAGCAAAUAUGCUAUGUAUCUAUUAUUAUGCAACUAAAAAAAUAACUCUUCCGCCCCUAGCACAAUGGUCUCUGCCCAACCCUGAAGUUAGAUGAAAAGGAGGGUGAAUGGAAAAAGGUAAAAGUCAACAACUUUCCAUCAAAUAUCUUCCACUCAUCAAUGUAACUGAGGAAUAAUUUAGACGCCUCUUGCUUAUAUAAAUAGAAAGAAAAGAGAAUGACGGUCUGAUUUUGACAUAUGAGGUGGUCAUACUUAUGAUUUUCUAACCUACAACAGUGAGAGUGCAUGAAAGAGAGAGGACAUAAGACAAGAAAGAGUAAAACAUUUCGACAACAAGCAUAUGCAUUCUCGGCAAAAGAAGUUAUUCCAACACAUUCGAAAUAGUCGUCUGCUUCCCCAUUAGUCAUCUUAUUUAUGAUCUGAGAAAUAUUCUGAAGAACAAAAAAAUUAAACAAUAUGAAAGCAAGCACAUGAUAACGAUCUCCUCUGAUCUUUGAAUAAUAUGUUGGAAUGAAGUGUACAAGAUUAAGGAAACAACAAGUGAUAACAUUUUCCUUUCGCUACAAGAAAAGUGAGUUUUUUUUUUUUUUUACCAAAAGAUUAGUCGCUAAAGGUCCAUUAUCAGAUUGUAAAACUAAUUCCCGACUUAGAAAUAUUGGUCGGAAGCUGGUCGCCAAAGGCUAGCCAGCAAACGUUUUCCCGACCAAAAUUAAUGUUGGUCGGCAAAUUUAAAGAGUUUUUGCUUACCAAUUCCAUUUUGGUCGUGAAUGAUUUCAUCUUUGCUGACCAAAUAUUUUAGUUGGUAAAAUUGAAAUGUUAGUCGGCGAAUAUAGAUAUUUUUGCUUACCAAUUCCUUAUUGAUCAGGAAUAAUAGAACCUUUGCCGUCCAAAUAUUUGAGUCAGUAAAAUUGAAAUGUUAUUCGACGAAUAUAGAUAUUUUUGCUUACCAAUCAGGAAUAAUAGAACCUUUGCCAACCAAAUAUUUGAGUCGGUAAAAUUUAAAUGUUAGGUGGGGAAUGUAGAUAUUUUUGCUUACCAAUUAAUUAUUAUUCGGGAAAAGUAUACAUUUUCCGACCAAGAACAUUUAAGCAAGUGCAGACCAUAUUCAACUGGUAAAUGUGAUUUUAUGCAAUUAUUUUUUUGAACCUGUGCAAUAAUCAAAAUUUCAAAAUAGAUUAAAAGCACAUCUCAAACACAAUACACCAACAAAAAUCUAAAAUAAAGAUCUAUCUGAAAUCAUAAAACAAUGGUCACAAUUCAAAAUCCUCUAGCAAAAUACAUGUAAGGUAAAAGAAUAUAUUAUAUCAAAGACAAGUGAAUUCUGCUUCCAAAAUAUGAGCAACUAAAUAUAUAGUCCAAAAUAGUAGCAUAUGCAAUUAAAAGUCUAAUCAUGGUCCAAAAUAUGAGAAGAUUAGUGUAGUCCAAGAGUAACAUAAGUUAUAAUAGAGAAUCAACCAUGAAGAUAACUCUAAACUAAUAAUCACGUGAUGACGGAUAAGUAGUGGGCACUCUAGGGCUACUUAUUCUAGUAGUAGCAUUAGGCAUAAUCUCCUCCAAUGAGGUGAGGAUACGCUAAUUUUGGCUCUACAAGUUAUUCACAACUUGGCGAAACGCAACCCCCCUGCCCAAGACCCUAGAGUAGCAAGAAGAAGUGCCAAGAACCUGAGUCGCAAUCUCAUUAGCAGUGUCUUCUCCGUCAACAUGUGCUUCUUGAGUGUUUUGUACGUCUAUCAUCUCUUUUUGCAUGACAUUAGAAAAGUAUUAAUGCAAAGAAGGGAGUAAAAUAUUUGUUCCAUUAAGUAAUAAUAAAGUUAAAGACGUAAGUAUUUGUUCAUUACAUACUUCUCCUCGGCCACAGGAUAGAUCUAGCCUUUGAUAUCCUUGUAAUGUGUAUUCUUCUAUAGUUGAAUUCUACCUAGUCUCCCAGUUCCAUUAUCCUACUAGAAAAAGUAAGAAAAUGCUUCUUACUUUGUUGAUUAAAGGAUCUGAAACCAGAAAAAUGGGCAAACUCCUGUUAGGAUCUAUUGUCAACCGCUACUUUAGAUCUAUUCUAUAAUAAUUUAUAAUUAAAUAGAAAUGAAUAGACUCAACCAAAUAAAUAAGUAAACAAAUGAAUAUAAAUGCAUGUGAAACUAAAUAUAAUUGCACCCAAAGUCGUUCACUUUCCUUAUAAUCGCAUCAAUAAUCCCAAUCAGUCUGUGACGAACUUCUUUAGGCUUAUUUGCUUUCCUGUGAGCCAUUAGUUGGUCUAUAUACUCCUUGUAGUGUGCGUGCAGCUCAUAUCGAAACUCCUUAAAGAAAGUGGCAUUUAUUUCUCCAUGAACUCUUUAAGAGUUGAAUAUUUAUAUGAUAAUGUAUGUUAAAAACAGUAUAUAUAUAUAUAGCAUACUGACGAUUAUAGCAUACAAAAUGAAUUUGAUCAAAAUUUAAAAGAAAGCCUACUGAAUUUGAUAGCACUCUAAAACUCUGAACCAAUAAAUAUUUGAAUAAACAAAACAUGUUAAACAAUAAUGUUACCUUCACUUUGUCAUAUAUAGGGGACUUUUCAGAUUCGGUCAAAUCUUUCCAAAAUAUCUUAUGGCAAGGUGUAAAUAUUCGAACACCACAUCCUAUUUCAGAUACGAACACACUAGCAUUAGGUCCAGUAGGUUGCCCAUCAGCGUCUCCUCCAUACGUGAUAUCUAACUUCCUUUGAUUGGACUCGACUAUCUACUAUGUACCUAAGCCAUAAGUACGUCCACGUCGCUUAAGCUCGAGUGGUGGCACUGAAAGUGAAAAAAGAAUAGAAGUUGUAGGUCCGGAGCAGGGGCGCCCAUAAGGGGGGUGUUGGUUACCUUGGCUCUUUGUAGCUCGAUAUCCCAAAAAAAAAAAAAAAAAAAAAAAAAAAAACGAGGAAGAAAUAAAGGAAAACAUUGACAAGAACUAACUAAUUCAAUCAUAGAAACAUGUCUCUGUGGGCACAAUGGUUGGUGUAGUUUAGGUGGUAGGAGCAGGGUGCAUGCUAGUUGCAGUAACCGGCUGUGUGAUAGGAGCAGUCAUAGGUCUUGGAAGCGAUAGCUUCUUCUUUUGUGGCAUUGGAAUAACCUACUUUAUUUAAAAAUAAAAUUAAAGGAAGAAAAUAUUAUAAUGCAUAUACAAAUGUCUUGUAACCAAUCUCAUUGACAACUUAAUUAUAAUGCAGGAUUAACUAAGAAAUUACUAGCAAUCUAUCACAAAAUAUUUUAACUUAAUCUUCAUUUGAAUCUACUUGACCCAUAAGGUAUCCUCUACAGGGCUUGUAUUCAAUUAGGAAAGUAGAUACUAUAUGCAGUCACAAAAAAAGGACACCAAAUGCUGAAUAAAAAUACUUCUGUUCAAUUUUUUAAGGUAACCAAAACGAAAUCUGGAAUCUUGAUUACUGGAUUAAUCAGCAUUCACGCAGUCUUGGCUUAAGUCAUGGAGAACCAAAACGAAAGGAGUGGUGAAAAGAAAAAGAAAUUAACAUAUAAGUUGUUGGAUCUGGAGUGCUCCAACUUUAUCAACGUUUAUGUAUGCAGCUGACUUCUGGGUGAAAUACAUAGCUGAUUUAGAUUUUACCUGUUUGAAUAGUUACCAUAUAUGAAUAAAAAAUAUAUCUAUAGCAUAAAUACACCUGGAUAACCAAGUCAGAAAGCCAAGCAAUUCCCUCAAUCAAAAGCAUUCGGUCAAUACGUCUUGCCAUUAGGCCCAUUACGAAAGAAAAUCCACAAUGAAAACCUGCCCCCAGUUAUUUGAUACUACAAUUGUACUAGAAGUGUUCACCAUAAUUCCUCGUACAAAUUGCACAUAUACGGAAAUGUAAAAAUAAAUUAUACAAAUCUCUAACUAAGAUCUUACUAAUAAUGAAGGUAUUUUAAUUCUAAUCCGAUGUAAUUAAAAUUUUGUUUAAAAAUUUCUUAUCUUAACAUUGUAAAGUUAAAUAUAAAUUAAACUUAAUUUUGGUAAGUUUAAUUCUAAUCAAGUACUACAUGAAGGAAUAAUGUGUGGCCUUUUAAUUAAUAUAUAUAUAUAUAUAUAUAUACACACACACACACACACGACAUUUUCAAAUUUGAGAAUGCUAUUUUUUAUUUUUUAUUUUUUGAAAUGUGCAACAUGUCACUUUAAAAUAUAAUAAAAUAAUUUGUGACCUUUAAAUUAAAAAGUUAAACAACAUGUCACUUUUUGUUCACUGAUCGAUUAACAAAAGUUUUGCAAGCCGACUGCAACAAAUUUCCUUUCAAAGCAGCAAUGGAAUUUUAUUUAGGAAGCAAUGACACGUAUUUGUUUUAUAAUCAAAAAGUUAUUAUCAGUCAAAAAACUCAAAACUAAUAAACAAAAUGAAAACUACGGAAAAUGUCACUUGUACACUCUUUUUUUGACAUUAUAGUUGACAUUGGCAAUGUCAUUAAAAAACUGUGCAAAAUUUAAACUGUCUAAUGGCAAAUAUAAAAGAUAAUGUAAAUAAUGAUGUACGUGGAGCAUGAUUGGAAAACUAAUUACAUACAUAUUUCAGAUAAAAACCAGCAAAAUCAGACUACAAGCUAACCAAGAAUCUCAUAAACACAUUAACCCCACACUUGCCUCCAUACUAUUAUGUAAUUUUGUAGAUGAAAAUCUUCUAAAUCAAGUGUCACUUUUUCUUUAAAAAAUCACAUCAUAUUUAUUUUGACGUAUCGGCAUAGGAUGCUUGGCCAAGCUUAAAUUUUAUAGGAUUUUGGAAGCCUUCACAAUAUUAUUUAGUUGUAUUUUUUGUUUCGUCCGGCUACUUAUGAAUUAAAUUGUGCAUCCAAAGUCAUUGUGGAAACUAAAAAAUACAAAACAAAAUGCCAAUUACAAAGUAGUUAUCCAAGUACAAAAACAUACACGAUGAGUGGAAAUACAAUUCCAGCAUAUUUUAUUUUCCUAAUGCAAAAAUCGGUCCGAAUUGCAAAAAUGAGCUGCUAGAACUUUUGCAGUCCGUGCAAAAUUAUUGAAAAAAUAUGCACCAAGCACGGAUUGGAAUCAAAUGUGGUUCAGAACACCAUACGUAGGAUAAGUCCUGGUGUGCAUUUCAAUACCAAUGGCUUCAAAAUUUGCUUUCACCAUUUAAAAACAGCAUCCUUCCGGAAAUUGUCAACAAAAUGUGCGCGUCUUCCACUUGUUGGCUGUGUAUCAAUCCCAUUUUUCUUCUAUUUUCUGUCUGUUCUCUGCCUUUUAUUCCAAUUUCCGUAUACAAUUUUCACAUCUAAUUGAUCCAAUUCAAAGUCAAAUGUGAAACAAGAGAGAGCAAAAUUAUGUGGUGCACUUGUUUAUUAGAUAUGAGGCAGUUUUGAUAGCUUCAGUUUAGAAUAAUCAAUAGGAUGACCUCUUUAAGCAUGAUCACGCGUAUUAUAAUCCAAUGAUUUUGUGGUGCACUUGUUUAUUAGAUUUGAGGCAGUUUUGAUAGCUUCUCCCUAGAACAAUUAUGGGAGACCUGAGCUUAUUAACAUGCAUCUCACAUUUUCUAACAAAGUCCUAUUCAUCCUUUCAGUUAACCUAUUCUAUUGUGGAGUAUAAGGGCCAAUCCUAUGUCUAAGAAUCCCACUAUUUUUAAAGAAAUUAUCGAACUCUUCAUUGUAAAAUUCAAGACCAGUAUCAGCUCUAAGGACUUUUAACAAUUUUAUUUGCUUGAUUUUCAAUAAGAGUUUUUUACACUGUAAAAUUUUGAAAAGCAUCAGAUUUAUUUUUCAAAAGGAUGACCCAACAUUUCCUUGAAAAAUCAUUAAUGAUAAAAGAUAAUAUUUAAAAGCAGAAUAGGUACUUACUGCUGCUGGUCCCCACAUAUCAACAUGCAAGUAAUCAAGAAUAGAUGAUAAGACAAUUUCUUUGGCUUCCUAUACAUACAAUGUUCACAAAAGGACAUUUCUUUCAAUUCCUAAAAGUCCUUGUUUCUUAAGAACGUAUAAAUCCUUAUCGCUAAUGUGCCCAAGUCUUUUAUGCCAAAUUUUAGAUUUAUCACACUGAGAAACUGCAGCAGCAAUAAACUGAUUCAGUAAAGGUGAAGCCUUGAAGAUAGAGACCCCAUUUGAUUUUUCAACAAGGGUAACUUUUGCUAAAUUCUUUUGGAUAGUUAAAAUACCUUUAUUUAUGAUUGUAUUAAAACCUUCAUCAUCAAGUAUAGCUAAAGAGAUUAAGUUUCUCUUUAAGUUAGGAAUGUAUCUUAUCUUAUUUAAGGUUAGUACAUUUCCAUUUUCUAGUUUUAAAACAACCUUACCAAUUCCUUUAAACUUACAAGAAAAGUCAUUUCCCAUUAUCACUUGUCCUCCAUUGAUUUCCAAGAAUUCAGUAAAGUAUUCUUUAUAUGAUGUCAUAUGAAAAGUACACUCUGAAUCAUUAAUCCAUUCAUCUUUAAUUGAGGAUUGACAAUUCAUAUAGACUUUUUCAUUUGAGACUGCUUCUUCUUCAUAAGCUAUAGCAGCCUUACCUUUGAUUUUAUUAAUAUUUUUCAGUUCCUCAAUUAUCUUGACAUAGUCCAUUAUAAAAUGACUCAUCUUUCCACAAAAGCAGCAUUUAUUUCUCUUAGCCUUAUUAUUAUUCUUGUUGAAUUUGAAUUUGCCCUUGUAUGGAUUUCCAGAAAAUUCUUUUGAUUUCCCAAAAUUUUAAUUAAGAAAUUGUUAUUAUUUUUCUUGAAGGAAUUAUUUCCUUUAAUAUUGUAACCAACUCCAAUAUUGGAGGUCUUUAAUUCACUUUUGAAUUCAAGUACUUUAUUUCUUAAGAAAGAGACAAUGAUAUCAACAAUAACAAAAGUUCUUCCAUAUUCAAGGGCACUUUUCAAUUCUUUAUAUUUUCAGGUAAAGAUGAUAACAAUGCUACAGAUUGUUGGUCAUCAAAAAGAGUCUCACCACUAUUGGUGAGAUCUUGAGAUAGUUUAUUAAAUCCAUCAAGAUUUGUUUCAAGAUCACAAUUUGGAUCAAACUUGAGAUUGAAAAAUUGUUUCCAUAAAUAACAUUUAUUAGCGAGUGACUUUUUUUUAUAAAGAGAUUCAUGUUUAGUCCAAUUUUCAAUAGCAGUCUCAGUCUUCCCUAAUUAUCUAAUAACGUUGUCAAAUAAAUGCAAGAAAAUUGUGUUCCUUGCAAUUUCACCUUGUUUUGUUUCUUAUUAUCAGUAACCACUCUACCCCAAGAUUCAUCAAGGGCUUUAACACAUUCUUGUUGCAUUAAAAGAGCCUUCAUUUUUUUGACUUUAGAGACAAACAUCUCCUUUGCCAUUUCAAAUUUCAAUAUCAACUUUUGUACUUACCAUAUUCUUAAACUUUCGAAAAACUGUAAGUUUGAUAGUUUGAAAAACAAUACAAAGUUUAAAAUACACCAUGCAGAGAAAAAUUAUCAAACAGAUAUCCACACACUAAGUGUCAAUGUGCAAAUGUACAAUGUUUACAAAUUGAGAAACAUGUAACUACAGAUGACCUACUCAGAGGAUAUAAAACUUUCGAAGAAUAGAACUUAAUGUAAUCUUGAAGAAGCCAUUAAUCAUUGUCCCCUCGAAUUCUAGGGUUCUCAUAUAAAAUCCUAGAUAAAGGAAGAUCCAAGAGGGUUUCAACCAAGAGGUCCAAAAAUAUAAAAAAAAUUGAAAGUUAAUAAUAGAUAUAGGGUUAGAGACUCGUUACCAAAGGAUCUCAAUUUGACAUUGUAAAAUAGUGAAUACCAAGACUAUUUUACAUUGUCACUAGAUUGAAGAUUUAAAAUCGUUGCUGUACAGAUCUGUAAAGAUCUGAAGUUUUUUGUCAAGAAACACCGGAAAGGAUAGAUUGAGGUUUCCAACUAUAGAUCGAAGAACAGUCCCAAAUAACCAAAAUAUUGACUGAAAAUUAAAGAACAUCGAAGAUUUUUCACCCUAAGACCAGGAUGUUUACCCAAAACUAGCUAAUCACCACGUUGAGCUUCCACCAAAGUGGUUAUCGCUCCAAUCCACUAAAAACCAGUAAAAAAUAUCAACACUAGGAUUACAAUACAAGAUCCAAUAGAUCUUGCCCUCAGACUAUAUUUCCACUCUCAAAGUACCCUUAACAGAUUUCACCAAGUAACCAAAAGUUACUGCUUGACAAAGAACAAAAUCAACCUCUCCUACAUGUAAUCAAUACUAGACUUCACCAAGAACAUCUAGAAGACAAAGAUUACAAAUAAAAACUAGAGUUUUUCCCUUCGAGAGAAAAACAGAAAUGAAUGAGAUAAAAACCUUAGAACUCUCACCUUCAGUUAGAAAAUAAUAAGGGUCAAAAGAAUAUAAGCAAACACAAUCCAUCCUGUGGUUACUUCAGCACCACAUGGCAUCAUCUUAGCUGUUCAUUAAAAAAGGAUUUCAGAAAAACAUGAGACUGCCCAGCUGAUAAGUAAUCGGGUCACAUUCCUUUAAGUGGGCUUAAGAAUUGGGCUGCAUCAUUGGGCUUUAAGAUGUUAAGCAAAAUACUUAACAUAUACUAAUAGACUCAAUUCAGGAAAACCAUCAACUUUCCAUGCUAUUAUAGAUCAGAGCUAUAAUCUUGAUCUACAUGCUCAAAAAGUGCGAGUGGAACAUUCGAGCAAUGUUUUCUAGGAGAAAGGAACAAGGAAAAUUUUAUCUUGUCUUGGUCAGGAGGUAAGAUGUCUUUCUACAAGAUCAUGAGUAGCGGGCUCUUUAUAAUUUUCUACUUCUGGCAUUCAAUUUCCUGGACUUAGGUAGUGGUUAUGAUUAGUUUAGUAGAAAAGAAGGAAUAAUGUGAAUUUUCGGGAGGAGCCAUAUCGAUCUGCAAACUUAACAAUAACUCCAUUUCUUAUUUUCAAUACCAGAAGCCAACAUGGACACUGAUGCUACUUACAACUUGUUUACAGUUAUGGAAGAAAAAGGAAUUGGGCUGAUUGAAAUCGAAAUUGAAGACUAUUUAACAUACAGAGAUCGAGACGUACAUGAUUGCAACAAGCAUUCAAGCAGUAGUUCAUUUCAUGAAGCCUAAUGCCAAUAGCUCUACCUAUCAAGAACAACUAACAACUCAGAAUUGAUGGAAAUAUGUUGCUAAAAUAAAUACUAAAUGUUAAUCCAAACAUAGAUUUUCACAAUGCCUAAAAGCCAAAUUGAGGAGAAAAGAUAUGCCCCAACUUCAGUUAUCCCGAGAUAGAAAAAUGGCGAGGACUUUCCUCCCAAGGCAACUCCAAAUCCUAAACAUUCAAUGGAGACAACACUGAACCCUUACUACUAUGAAUCGAUGCCCCCACUCUCUGCAUUUACUGGUAUUACUGCCUUAUAAUGGAUGCUCAAAAUUACGCGUUUAGUGGUCAGCUUCCAAAAUGCCUAAACUGUUGCUGCAGCUGUAGACGGUGGUGUGGCCCCUGGCCUGGCCUACUGUCGUCAUUUGAUUCUGCAGCAUUGCAGCCACCAACAAGAGUUAGGCCGGCCUGCUGCAUUGUAAGCUUGUUUACAAUUGAUCAGUUGGAUCCACACUAACAUUAUUCCCACCAACACCACCACUUAAAUUACUGAAAAUUCUUUGCUGCCGCUGUAAAUAGAACCUGUACUUCUGCAAAUGGCUAGCAACAUUCUCUUUGGUAAGUCCAUCCACAUUCAUCAUCUGCAUUAUAGUUUCGAGCAUUGCAUUAUUGAUCCCCAAAUGAUUUACAGCAUCCACAAAUCUAUGGAGUCCAAACAAGCCACGGACGUCGUAAUGUCCAAGUCAGAUAGUCCGACCCCACACCGAUUCUGGCCCCAGCUACUCUGCCAUCAAUAUUACACCCCACUCAUUUAUAUUUAGGAGAUUUUUCAUAGAUGUCACUAAAUUUGAAAUACACCAAAAGUUGUCAAUUUUACUAAUGGUGGUUACAAAUGUCCGUUUUUUUUUUUUUUUUUUUUUUUUUUUUUUGGUGUGAAAGAUCCAAAUUACCCUUAAUGAGACCUUUUUAGGUUGUUCACUGUUAACAAAUUCUAACUUUCUUACCAUCUUUUCCAUUCCUUCAUCAAGAAGAAAUUACUAUUGGAUUCAUCUUCCAUUUUGUGACGUUAACAUGUUAGCAAUUGUUUAUAUUUUUAUCUUAUAACUUACUAUUUUUGAAAUGUUAAAUACAACAUAGUCAUAUUUAUUUGAUUUUCAAAAUUAUUAGUCAUUGAUUUGUUUGGCUUUUCAAAUCUUUUGAAAUAAAGAUACCAAUAUCAUCUACAAAAUGUUAUGAAGGAUUUCAUAUUUAAUGAAGCAUUAAAUUAAUUAUUUGGAAAGAUCUUGUCAUGUUGUAGUUGAGAAUUGAUGAUCACCAUUAAUGUUUUGAAUAAUUUCUUCCAAUCAAACCCAAUAAAUAUUUUGAAGGACUGUCUCUUGAAUGAUUCACUGUGCAAAUUAUUUGAGAAGAAGAUUUUUUCAUUUGCUAGUAAAAUAUUGAUUACCACACUUAAUGUUAUGAAGAAUUUGUUCCAAUCGCACACACAUUACAUGCUUUUCCUCAGCUCCGACAGUUCAACUAUUGAAUUUGACAUUUAAAAACUUUCAGGACAGACGUUUUCACUGUCAAAUUCAACAUUUGGAAACUAUCGUGAUAAACAUUUCAACUGUCGAUUUUCACCUGUUUACACUGUUGUAUGGAUUUAAAUAUCCAAAUGUGCCACUUUGAUGUUAUUAAAUGCCAACAUAUUGAUUGUGCAUAAUUCUUACCAUUAAAAUUAACUUUUUAGGUAUGAGUAAUCAUUUGAGAUUCAUUGUGUCAUAUGGAGUAAAGUUUGUUCAUAUAGAUAACGAAUUGAAGUGGAGAGGACUAAGCCACUUCAAUCAUAGUUUUGACAAGUAUCACCAAUAAGUGUAUUUUUGCACACUUAUUUGAUACCUAAAUGUGCUUUUUAAUUAUGAAACGAACGAAUAUAGACUUACAAUUAAGGCUUGGGUUUUGCUGCUCAACCCAAGCAACCCAAACCAAAUUGAUCGGUUUGGGUCGAUUUUUUAAGUUCAAUUGUGUUGGUUUAAGUUGGAAAAUUGAAUUUGAAAUUGGGUUGGCUUGGGGUUCGGUUGAUGAAUUAAAAUCCAACCCAACCCAAUGAAUUAAAAAAAAAAUUAAUAUCUAUGAUGGAAAAAUUUUAAAUAGACAUAAUAGUAAAGAUAAGACAAUGACUUAUAAUUUAUAAAUGUCCAUUUUCUUCACAUAGACCGAUUCACACAAAUACUAUAUACAAAUGCAAUGUUAUUUGACAAGAAAGUAAAAAUUAAAGACACGAUGAUGAAAUGAAUGAAUUCCAAAAAGUUGUAAAAAAGAAAAUGCUUCAUAUAUUUUAAAUUUAUUUAUACAUUAUUUUUAGAAAGAAUUCAUUGUAUACGUGUUUAAAAAAAGAAGUUUUUCAAGUAAUUUCCAACUCUAAAAAAUUAUCUAAAUUUAACAAAUAAAUCGAAUCCAACUUUAAUUGGGCCGAAGCCCAAACCGACCAACCCAACCCAAAUCGAUCCAAACUUGAUUGGUUUGGGUUGGGUUUAAAUCAAUAAUUGGAAUGUGUUGGGUUGAUUUUCAUCAAACCGACCAUGUUGGGUUGGAAAAAAAAUCAACCCAUCACAACCCAUGCCCACCCCUACACACAAUUAUGUAAUUUUGGCUUUUAUAUGUCAUAAACCCCAAAUGGAAAAAGAACAAGACAAAAGGGAGUGAAAAGGGACCAAAAGCAUACAAAAAAUUAUGCUGGGGACCAAAAUGCAUACGUGUAAAAAGUUAAAGGAUCUUUAAUACAAUUCAUGGAGGGCAUAAUCGCAAAGAAGUCAAAAUUUGAGAACCAAAUUGUACAUAAUCAUAGUUGAGGGACCCAAAGUGAAAAUAUCGAAGGAAAGGGGGUAACGCCUAGGUGCCCACUCCCUGUCCUUUCACAGAUUAGCCCCUUUUACCGGCGAUGUGGCACCCCAUUUUGGCCCAAGUCCAUUUAAAUAUUUUUCCAAAAUCUGAGGACUUGGGAGACAAUGUUCCAAAGGUUUUGAGGGUUUUUAAAGAAAAAACGCAGCCAUUGGUCAUUCUUCUUCUUCUUUCUCUUUUCUUCUCUUUUUCUUUCCCUUUUCUUUUGAUUUACUUGUAAACCAAGAGCACAAGGAGAAUAUAUCCGAGGAAGGUGGAAAAGUAUUUGGGAAAGUCAAGAACAAGCUUCAAAAAAGGAUUUUAUCUAUAAUCCUAUAUUUUCUCCAUUAUUUUGCCUAACUUGUAGUGUAUUGUUUUAAAGAUUCUCGUUUUUAUCACUUAUAUAACAUGGGCUAAGAAUUAUUUGUGUUGGAAUUAAUGGUUGAAAUUUAACCAAGCCUUAAUUAAUUUCAAUAUUUUCUUUUUAAUAUUAAAAUGCUUAUUUUUAUGUUUUUACUAUUGUGAUUGUGCAUUUUUAUUUAUGUGGCCGAUGAAUAAUUGUGUUGAUUGAUUUGUACAUCGUUCGAGAUAAUAUUGUGCUUUUUAAACCAAAUGGUAGAAACUCUAGGUUUGUGUAGGGGAUAGAGAUAUACCUUUAACUAUAGGUGACCUGAUAAGCUAUUUUUACAAAGGUUUAAUGAGGUUGUUUAAUUUUAAUUGACAUAGAGAUAUAAUAAGUUAAACUAAUCAAUUAAGUCAAUUUCGUUUGAGAAAGGUAAUUAACUAAAAUUGGAAAAUCAGGUCUAAUAUCAUGAAUGGGUAAUUUGUUAAUUGACUUAUGGAGAAAUUAAUUUACUUACGGUUAUGUGAAAUUAUGAAUCCCACCUCGUUUUCCUCCAAACUAUCCAAGUAUUUAUGGUUUCAUAAUUUUGUUGAUUUUUAUUUAAUUUUCCUUAUUUUUCAAAACUAAAUCUUUAUUGUGUGUUUGUUUUUAUUGUUCAAAUUAAAUUGAUUAAAGUUGUGUAAUCUAAAAUAAACAAUCCUCAAGGGAUCGACCACUCGAACUCAAAAACUCCACUUUAUUACUUAAAUGCCAUCCGUGCACUUGUAGUUUGCACUUUUAUAGCGAACAAUCACCCUUGCCGAACUUGUGUUGCGAUUGAAGGAUGAAGUCGGUAUUCUUAAUCCCCCAUACUCAAAUUGGAUUGAAGUUCAAAGUCCCGAGCAUGACUAUACCUUCAGCCUAAAUGCGCAAAGAUGAAGACUUAAAUUGACACAUAUCAGUUUAUAAGGAAACUGCUAUAUACGUUACUACUUUGGAGAUUGGGCAUCCAAUUGUUGACAUAAGGAGGUAUUCAAAUUUUCAAAAUCCUUCGUUUGUCACGAUGGAUGUUUAUCGAGACAUACAACAUGAUGAGGUCAAUCAAAUUCAAAGUGUCUUAAACGAUAAUGUACCUAAAACAUUAAAUUUUGUUAUUGGGAAUUCACCAUUUAGAUGAAAACUUGGAUAACCCUUUAACAGAGGCUGCUAAUAUUGUUGACGGCGACGAGCAAAUGUUAUCACAUUCCAAGAGUUCGGAUAGAUAAGAAUAGAUUAGAACAGUGAAUACAUUUGAUCUAGCCGAAAGGAAAAUAUUCUUCAACAAGAAAGACUUUUACUCGAAAAUUAGUGUAUUUGCUUUGCAAGACAAGUUCCAAAUUUGAGUAAGCAGAUCAAGCAUCAAAAUGCUAACCGUUGUAUGCGUGAAUGAUAAUUUUAAGUGGAUGUUACAUGACAGUGAAACAACCUGCGAUCUUCAUGAUCCGUAAAUUCAACAAUGUGCACACAUAUUGCGUAGAUUUUCCUUUUGUAGUUGUUGGUAAUCAAUGAUUAUGAGUACCUUUUUAUCUUAAAUGUACCACUUGCCUGAAGAACAUAUCAUAUACUAUUAGGGAACAUUCAAGAUGAAAGAACGUGAUUUAAGUAGUUUUAUUAAUACUAUUUCCUUUAUUUAUGAUAUGUCUACCAGAUAUGAAAAUAGAGGUUACAUAUGUUAGAACAAGAAGAGCAAUGGUCCUGAGGUAUUUUGAUAUUUAAACUUCUCAUAAUUAGAAUUCAAUCAAACAAUCUAAUUUUGUUUUGUGCUAGUCAAACAAAUCAACAAAUAUGCACAAAAAGAAACCAAUCCUCUAAAACAAAUAAAAUUCUCACAAACUACACGAUGGGGCUGAGAAUUGCAUGUCAGGUAACUUGGCUAGGAACCUAAGGCAUGAGUUAUCGAAAUCUUCUCGCUAUCGAUCAUUAAAAUUUUCCAAUACAGUUUUCAUGAACUUGAAAUUUCUCUUUUGAGAAAUAAAGGCAUGCAAGUGAGUAUUUUCGGGAACUAGGAAUUCAAAAUUCAUCUACAAGAAUAAGGUACAACAAAAAAGCAAAAAAGGUCAGAUUAUAAUGAUUCGUACAUGUUAAUACAAAACACAUUUUGACAAAUUAAAUUGACCUAUCGAGAUUUUAUUAUCUGUCGAGAAUAACUGAAAAAUAACGAUCGAGAACGAAGUUCAUCUCGACAAAUGAGUCACAUGAUUGAUCUGUCGAGAAUUAGUCAUCUAUCGAGAACUCAUAACUGUUAAGACUUUCAUUUUGACAAAUUAAACAGUUCACUUAAACUAUAGUAAUGUUUAUUUAUGUUAUGUAUUAAGUAUUGGUAAUUAAAAGUGCCUAUUUUCACAUAGUAAAGAAACGAAAAAGUCCAAUUUCUCGGCUUCUAUAAUAAGAGAGAUAAAUAAACACACAUGCACAUACAAAGCACAAAGAUAUGAAACCAUAACCUUGUUGACAUUAAAGCAAUUAACUUUUGGUAAGAAAAUAAGAAAAGGCAAAGGAUUAAAAAAAAAAAAAAUGUGUUGCAGACAUAUAGCUUACAAUUUGAUGUGUAAGAGGUUCUCAAAAGUUGUAAAUGUAUUCCCUCAACAAAUCAGAUGCCAAACCCUGCAAACAACAAAAUAAUAGUUAGCUUAACAUGUAAAGUAGAAAAGCCAAUAUUUUCAUACCAUCAAAGAGAAUUUUGUAAAAGAUAUUUGAGGUUGAACAUGACUAGCUAUCCACUAAGCUGAUAUAGAGCAUUUGCGUGGAUUGUAAAUUAUUAUGAUAAGCACCGUGAAAGACAUAAAUAAGAGCCAAAUCAUAUAAUCAAGAAAUGGUCGAGAAUAUUUACAAAUCUAAAUUCUAGACAAUUAACAGACAUACCUCACUCUUGAUUUCAUCUGCGGGAACAAGGAUUAUAAAGAAAGCAAAAUGUCGUACCAUUAUAUUUCAUAUGUUUUAUUUCAAAACACACAUAGAAUGUUCAGCUCAACCGAGCUUGGUCAUAUCGACAAAAGAUUCCGUAAUGAAUCUAUUGAGAAUUACAGAGAAUAACUGUCGAGAACAAUAUUUCAUUUCAACAGAUGAUUUCAUAACUGUGGAGAUUGACAUUUACAUUUGCCAUUCAAUUUGGUGUUCCAAGAUAUGAACAGUCAGGUUUUGACAAACUUGGUUAGUGUAAAUAUAAAAAAAAAAAAUUCAAAUGACAUUAACAAAUAUCACAAAACCCCAAGAACAUAUCAAACCCAAGAAACUUACAAAAAAGAAAGAGAAAAUCUUGUUGGAUAGAAGGGGAAGAAGCAUAAAUAAUAUUGUGAUACCAAAUUUUCAUUAUCUUUCCAAUAUUUCGAAUUACAGAUUUAUGUAAAUAGAAAUUUUUACACUACCCAUUCCAAAAUUCAAAAUCAAUAGCUGUCCCUACACCAAAAUCCAUCUUCAACACCAUCUAAGGAUUAUUUUCAAUAUGAUUGGAUUGGACCAUUUUUUGCCCAAAAAUCACCGUUAACAACAAAAUACAUAAAAAUAAUAAACACCCCUAAUGCCAUUGUAUUAUACAUCCAAAGAAGCAUAAAUCUUUGUCUUUGGACAGUGGAACAAGCAAUUGAUAGAUGGGUGGAGACCGAUCUGGUGGUGGGUGGCAACUGGCAUGGCGACUAACAUGGUGGUGGUUGGCAUGGUGUGAGAGAGUGGAAGAAAUACAGUUGCGUUAGAGGAGUGAUCAUAGGGGUCUGAGAUUUUGAAUGUGAGAGUGUGGCUUGUGUUUUUAAGGGUGAGGAUAUUUUUUAUAGUUUUUGGUUUUUCACAUUUUUUUAUUUUAAAAUUUUGGAACCUUUUUUCCACUUUUGGUACAACUUUUCACAUAGUCAAAUCUCAUUUAAUAAAAGAUAAAAAUGUCCAAAAUGACAUUCUUGUGAAGAUUUUCAAAAGGGUAAUUAUAUUACCACUACAAAAUUUACUUGUUUCACCACAAUUUUAAUUAAUAUUUUUAUUUACUUAAAUGGCCCUAAGUAAAAUUACUUAAUUAACCACACUUUUAAAUAAAUAUUUUAACAUCAAAUAAAUUUUAUAGAUACCACGAUCAUUAACUAACUAAUUCAUUAUUUCCUUUAAGGAUGUGGUGCAAGGUGAAAAUUAUUUUACCCUUCAACAUCCCUUUUUUUCCCCUCAAUAACACUCUAUUUCUCACAAGAGUGAGGCUCGGCUGAAGAGAAAACACAAAUGGAUCGUGGCGACGCUUUGGUUUGUGGAAAUUGGAUGAAAAGUAAAGAGCUGAAUUAGGGUUUGUACAAUAAAUUUACUAGAGAUGCAUAUGAAAUCGCCAUUUUAGGUUCUUGUGAGAAAGAAAAUUGAGUUUUUAAUGAUAACAGAGUUAUCGUUCAAUUUAUAAAUGUUCUUUCAAAUUNNNNNNNNNNNNNNNNNNNNNNNNNNNNNNNNNNNNNNNNNNNNNNNNNNNNNNNNNNNNNNNNNNNNNNNNNNNNNNNNNNNNNNNNNNNNNNNNNNNNNNNNNNNNNNNNNNNNNNNNNNNNNNNNNNNNNNNNNNNNNNNNNNNNNNNNNNNNNNNNNNNNNNNNNNNNNNNNNNNNNNNNNNNNNNNNNNNNNNNNNNNNNNNNNNNNNNNNNNNNNNNNNNNNNNNNNNNNNNNNNNNNNNNNNNNNNNNNNNNNNNNNNGUGGUGUUUUAGUAAAUUUUGUGGUGGUCAAAUAAUUACCCUUUUCAAAAAGUGACAUUUAUGAAAAUGCAAAGCCAAAAAGAAGAACAAGAAUCAGAUGCAUGUUUUUUCAAGCUUGGGUUCUCCAUUCCCCCAUUCCUUCUUAUUUUUAGGAGAAGUAAAAAGUUAUGUUAAUUGAAUUUUUAAGGUUUAUGGAAAAACUUAAAUAUUUUUCAAAUAUUGAUAAACUAUACUAUUACAUUAUAUGCAAUUAUGUGAAUUAUUUGAUCGAUUACAUGAUUAUUACCAAGGUUCUUUCAUUAUGAUAUACGUGAAAUUUCAAGGAUAUAUAUGGAGUAUUUGUGAAUUGAAAUGUGAGUCACAUGUAAUAUUGAGAUCGACCAGAAAAAUAUCCGUAAUUAUAUACUUCUUCUAGUUCAUUGGGGGGCUUUGAUUAUGUUCUAUACUACAUUGAGGGGUUUUGACCGUGGAUGAAGGGGUCUUGACCGUGUACAUAUAGUUUACUGAGCGGCAUUGGCAAUGUUCUAGAAAUUAAUUAUGAGAGAGGCCUUUGAGACCUGCUUAUAUUCACUGGGGGCCCAAAGCCCGUGUCGAGAGUGCUUAGCCCAAGGGAUAGUCGAUGCGCAUAUCACCGGAUUACAAAUUUCAGACAGAGAGUACAUUAUUGAUGGAUUUUUUAGUACAUUUGAUGUGAUGAAAUUAUAGCAUGGAUAUCACUUGAUGAUUAUAUCAUGACUAUGAGAUGAUAUUUACAGUCAUGAGAAUGUCUUACAUCUUGAUUAUUAUUAUUAUAAGUUGUUAUAAUGUGAAUUGUUAAAUGAUGCCAACUUAAUUUUUGAUAAAAAUGUAUAAAUGAGAAAGUAUAAUUAUUUUUGAACUUCUCUACUCAUUGAGCUAUCAACUCAUAUAUUUUUCCAUGAUUUUCCUUACAGGUAGCAAUUAGUUCUUGAUAGCUUGAGAAGCCUGUUGAUUUCAAAGUUACAGCCACACGACAUAUUAAGUGAUGAUUCAUUUUGAUAAAGCACGAAGUAAUUAUUUUGGGUCCAUUGCUUUAUAUUUUCCUAAGAAGCUUAUUUGGAGCAUAUUUAGUAGUAAUUCAUAGAUAGUUUUGGUGGUGGAUCUAAUAUCGAGUCAGUAUCUAUAUCGGCACACAUCACGCUUCGGAUCCAUUAAGGUGAUUCGAAACAGGUCGUGUCAUAGAAUUACCCAACUCGAUCAAUUUGGAUUCUGUAGAAGGGUUCGGUUGAGAAAAGUGCGAGGUAUUUUGUGGUAGCAGCUGCAAAGUGCUCUGAUGACUGAUGGUUGUGAAUUGGGAAUGAGUUUAUAAUAUCAUAAUCUUGAGCAACAAAUCAUGAUCCAGUUUUAACUCUCAAGGUCAAAUAUACUGUUAAUUAAUGUAUAAUGAAAAUAUAAAAUUAAAGUGUAUAAUCAAUUUUCUAAUUAAUGGACCGUACUAGACCAACUUUUCUCAUAUUCUUUAUCAAUCUUUCACAAUGGGUUCUUGCGGGUCCAUCAAUACGGCCAUUGCCUUUAAAUUCUUGAGUAACCUUGCUCGUCCAGGGCCACAUGGGGCGCCUUCUCUGCCUAUGGCCCAUGACACGUAGCAAGGUUCAAAAUUCUUUGGAUGUGUUGGCAGAUUCAUCAAUCUUAACUCUUAUUUAUCUAAAUUGAGAAAGUAUCGAAAAAAUAUGUGUGACCAAUUGAUUUACAUGUGCAUGCUCAUCAUUUUGAACGGUCCGAAGGGCUCGCUGCUAGAUAUAUUGGCUAAUUAAUCAAUUUUUCCUUGAUGUAUCUAAAUUAAGAAACUAAAAUAAAAUUGUAUUAGGAAUUGAUUUACCUAUAACACCGUGACAUUUUGAACAGUUGGAGAGUCCUGUUGCUGGAUGCGUUGACAGUUUAAUCAAUAUUUUCCCUGAUGUAUCUAAAUUAAGAAACUAACAUACAAAUAUGUGCAAGGAAUUGGUUUACUUGUGAUGGCUCGACAUUUUGAAAAAUUGGAGACGCCCCUUGCUGGAUGAGUUGGCAGAUUAAUCAAUAUUUUUCCUGCUGUAUCUAAAUUAAAAAACUGACAUACAAAUAUAGAGUGAGCAAUUAAUUUACCCUUAGCAUAUCGAGUUUCGUUUUUGGUCGAUGAAUUACACCAGAGUCAUCUUGCCAUAACUGUAGGCAGAUUCAUCAAUGUUAGCCCUGAUGUCUCUAAAAGUUUGAGUAACACGAAAAAAUAUAGGAUGAGGGACUGAAUUACCCCAAAUUUUAAAGGAUUAAGCCUUGCUUUCAUUGUAUGGAAGAGAACUUGAAGGUCUUCAUUUCCCUGGCUCUGUUGGUCAUUAAGUAUAUCCUUUGAAGAAUUCAAGAUAGAAGGACUGGAGUAAUCUAUCUCAAUUAUUUCAAGCGUCUCUAUUUCUCUAAUACAAAGUGGGAUCUCUACCAGUUUAGAGCACUUCCAUAGGAUUAGGUGCUCAAGCCUUGGAAAAUGGGUUUUGUUUGCUCUCGAGUGCUCCAAAUCUGUCUCCCAAAUGUGCAAGAAUUUUAGUUUAGGAAAUAUCCUGUCUCCAGGUUUUCUAGAACGAAAUGUUUAUCACCAUCUAGGAAUGGGAUAGAGAAAACAGGAGGCAGGGAAGCUCGAGAAAUUAUGAUAUGUCUCAAUUGUGGCAUAUUAAAAAUUUCCUCCGGUAAUUCAAUUGCAAUUCCACAUGGAUCUUCAACAAUUAAAGU
rnacentral:lncRNA from 1 species